UUCCUUUUGUUAAUUCAAAAAAUCAAGCUUUAAGGCCACUUCUGGGAUCAUAAUGCUAUGGCACACAAGCAUUAUACAAGGUAGUUAAAGAUGGUAAGGAACUACAUACCAGAAAGAACACAAAAACUAGAUUAUGCCAAGGACAUGUUUAAUUCCCUUCUCACACCUAUUUUUUGUUUUAAAAAUUGUUUUACAUAACAAUUUCACAGGUACACUCACUCAAUAGUCCUUCACUCAUCCAAAAUCUUUUUAAGUUUUGAAAAUUUAUGAUCCAAAAUGUAUGAAGUUUUGAAAAUUAUUUCAAAAUAAGUAUUUCAAAGUCUGAAAGAACAGAAUGUUUCUCUUCUUGUUCAACUCUUCCUCAAUUCUACACUGUGUCUUGCAUCCUGGUUAAUUGCAUCUUGAAAACUAAAAGCAGUUUUUGAAAAAGAAAUUAAACACACCUUAGGUAAGGUUAAAUUGAAUAUUUUAAACUAGAAAAAGCUUUUGAAAAAGAAAUUAAACACACCCUAACUAACUAACUACUUGCCUGCUUGAUUUCAGAAAACUUGGCCAUUAGUUCUUCUGGAAUAGACCAGUCAAAGACAUCAAAGUUUUCCUUGAUCCUGGACUCAUUGGUACUCUUUGGCAGCACACUAUGACCUGAUUGCAAUCCCCACCUAAGGGCCACUUGAGCUGGUGUCUUCCCCAAUUUCUCUGCAAUCUCUACCACAACAGGAUUCUUAAGAAUGUCACUUUUCAGAAACUCUGGUGAGCCUAGUGGAGAGUAGCCCUGGAAAGAAAUUGGUCAUAGAUACAGUUAGAAUGCAAAUAUGAGAAGAAUAAAGAAUGGUUGUUGAGAAACCAUCAAUUUAAUUUGAGUACAAACCAAAUUCAUUUUCAACUAGCCCUGUAGACAUUUUCACCAAAAGUGAUUAUUUUCUUUGCAAGUAAUAACUUACAGGAAUAACAGGCUUGUAUUUAUGUGAAAGUACCAACAAGUAUGUAUCAUACAUUCCAUACUUACAGAUAUAUGUAUUCCUUUAGAUUCACAAAAUGCAUGCAACUUUGGCUGCUGCCACCCUGGGUGCAAUUCCACUUGGUUAACAGCAGGAGGUACUCUUGCUAUAUCCAACAAAUCUUGAAGCUUCUUUGAAGAGAAAUUGCUCACUCCUACGGCUCUAGCCUUGCCAGAGUCAUAGAGUGCCUCCAUUGCUCUCCAUGUGCUGGGAAUGUCUGGUUGAAUCAGAUUUUCUUUCUUGAAUCCAACUGAUCCACUUUUCAUGCGGACUGGCCAGUGGAUCUACACCAUAAAUCAAUUUAGUUUGUAUGAAGGAAGAGACUCAAGAUAAUACUAAAUAAAAAGGAAUGAAUCCCAGAUAACCAAAGUUAGUAGAAUUACAUGAAUGAAACCAUUGAACUUGGUUCACUUGUGAUAGCCUUAUUUGUAAAACAAUGCUAACAAUAUACUAUUAGACCCUCUUUUUCAAAGAGACAAUAUCCUAUUGAUUGAAAUCAUGAGUCCCAUUAUAUGAGUAACAUAUCAGUAAACAUAAUGCAUGCUUACCAGAUAGAGAUCAAGGUAGUCAAGUUGCAAAUCCUGUAAUGUUUUAUCCAAUGCUUUUGGCACAUCUUCUGGAGCAUGAUCAGAACACCUGAAAAUAUAGCCAACAGAGCAAAGGAUCUCCAUUCAGCAACCAAACACACACCCUUUUCCAAUGUUCAAAACAUAGAACACAAUUUUCAAAAGACAGCAAACCAGAGUUUGGAAGUUAUCCAUAAGUCCUCACGCUUCACCACACCAUCUUCAAAAACCUUCUUAAGCGCAGAACCAAUCUGUGAAAACCAAGAUUCAAAAUAAAAUGUCAAUUAGCUUCCAAAAGUGACUGAGUUCUCACUACUUUUCUAUAUUUAUUAAAACAAAACUACAUAACAUUAAUAGCAUAACCUAUAACCUGAAACAUCCCACAAUUAACAUUUUUUCACAGUUCACAUAUUAUUACAUAGCAAAGGCAAUAUGACAAAAUUAAUAAUUGAAAAGAUGAGAAACAAAAAUGGAGCCUGAACUAUGAAAGUUAUCAACUUGAAUUAUUAUUACCUCUGCUUGAUUGUCAUAAGCUUGAGCACAAUCAAUGUGUCUGUAUCCAACCUGAACAACCCGACAUCAAAAUCAGUUCACAUAUUAUUUCUCAAGUAAUAAAAAAUUUAACAAUUACAAAAUUUAUCUUAUUUACGACUUCGGAUACAAUAAGGACGACUCGGACAAGCUUCUUAAAUGGACGUGAGACACUUAGAAUACAUAUUGGUGAAAUAUACAAUUCAGAAGAUAUGUGUUAAAUUUUUUAUAAUUCUUACACGGUUCUAACAUAGUUUUAAAUAAAAGAAAUAUAUUAAUUUUUUAAAAAAUUCAUAUUUAUUGCAUAAAAUUAUUAUAAUUAUAAAAAUUAUAAAAAUAAAAAAUAAAUCAUUUUGAAUUAGCCAUUAGAAACAUCUUUCCACUAAAAAAAAGAAUGAAAUCAUAUUUCUACACAUCAAUCUUUAUUGUCAAUUUAUAUAAUUUAUAACUAUAUAAUAUAUAGAUUUAUAUUUUCGUGUAUUUGUUAGUGUUAUACUACAUAAAUGAAGACACACAAAAUGUGGAUAGGUAUUCUAUAAACAAGAUGUGGACAUGUUAUUAAUCCUACACCACUUAAAUAAGUAAAACACAAAUGGAUCCAUUAAGUAACACAAAUUGGUAUCAGUUUUAGUAACACAGAAUUUUUCUUUGGGAGAUUGUAUUAUUGAAAAGGGGGAAAAAUGAAUUGAAAUAGAGUUUUAGUUACCUGAAUGGCUGUGGUGACAGCUUUUGCUACAACUCCUGGUUCAGCUUGCCAUGUUCCUAACCCAAUAGAAGGGAUCUUUGCCCCUGUCUUCAACUCAAAGGAUUGGAUUAAGUUGGUCAUUUUUUUUUCUGAAUAAUGAUAAUAAUAAGCACAAUUAGGUAGAAGAAUAUUCAAACACUUCUUUUGGGUGGUUUGGCUAUGGUUUGAGUUAUGCGUUUGUAUUUAUAGGCAAAAACAUGAACAUGAAGAAGUGGACGGUGUUGAAGGUGCGGUUUGGUGGAUCAGAUUUGCUGUGGUCAUUUCUUUUAUUGUUUGGUGCAAUAAGAGAAGUAGAGUCGUUGAUGAGAAUCUACGGUUGGGAUUUUAUUUUGUAUAUUGGAAUGGAAAGAUCGAAAGCGAAAAGCUGAUAUAUGCACACACGUCACAUACGAACUCAAAAAAAUCAGUAUUAAACGUAAAUACGGCGUGCCCGUUUAUAUGAAAUUAAAAUGCACAAAACGGUAACCGUUUCGUAUUUGUUAUUCACGCUCUUAAUAUAAAUAUAUUUAUGUACCUACAUGUCACGCUGGAUACUAUACUUCGGUGGUAUUUAUUUCAUAAUCGAACUUUUAUGGUUAUUAGUGAAAAUUUUGAAUAAAACGGUCUACUCAAAUAGUUGUUACCGUUGAACAGUUAUUUAUGAAACAAUAAAUGAUCAUCAUACUACCAAUUUAAGGAUUGUCAUUGAAAAGAUCUAUAAAUAUCAACUCCAAAAAGUACAAUGUAUCUUAUUUAAUACUUUCAAUUCUGAUCAGAUGCCUUUCGAGUACAUUUUCGGUAAGAACGUUUAACAUCCAUCAUGGGACCCUGGUAAAAUGAUUAUCCCAUGACUACCAUAGCAUUGAAUAUUUAUAAAAUGAGUUCCUAACGGCCCUACCUGAAUAGCCAACUUGAGGUCUUUCUUUGAAGGAACAAGGAAAACUUGCAAAGAAAAAUGAAAACGCCUUCGGCCAGAUACAUGACAAAAUGGAAAAGGACAUAACAUCCUUGAAAGAACAACACAAGGCAGGGCUACAGGCACUACAAGAUCAAAUAACCCGAAGGGAAGGACGACAUGGACUUUACUGGGUACACGAAAGAGUCCCUAGGAGGUUCUCCGGAAUACUCAGCCAAUCGGGGAAAGACACCCUCCCAUGCCUACAGACGUAGGUCAUUAUGGAGGGAGACUCGGUUAACAAUCGCAAUGAGGUCAUCAUGACAAAAGAGUCGGGGAUACGAACAUCAACCCUUCAAAGCAGUUCCCAAUCAAGGCAUACAUGACACAUGCAACCUGUCCUUGGAGAAUAUGGUCAUACACAGUAGGCUAUUCCCAACUACAUUGAUAGGAGUAGCCUUAGAAUGGUACUACUCUUUUCCUAGGAACUUGGUUGACUCUUUCAACACCCUCUGCGCUCAGUUUCUAGCCAGGUUCAUCGACUUUAACCCAGUAGUGGCAACCUCGACAUCUUUGCACAACGUUGUGCAGGGAGAAGGGGAAGGCUUGAGGCAGUACAUGACCCGAUUUUCCCAAGCCAUGGUGAAUAUGCCUAACUUGCACCCGACGAUGCGCCCUCUUUGUUGGUUUAUAUCGGGGAAAACUUUUACACACUCUGUACUCUGAACCUUCAAAGGACAAUGACCAACUACAGGUAAGGGAAGCAAGGUACAUCAGCAUCGAGGAAAAUGCAUACACUUUGACGGAAGGCUAUGAAGGGACCACCCUCAAUGACUUUCUUGCCUUCAAGAGGAAAAGGUCGGGAAAGUUCAAAAAUUAUACCCCGCUUAACGCGAAAAAAGAAGUAGUCUUCCAGGAGGCCUGUAACUUGGAGCUUGUCCAGUUACCAUCAAUGGCCUUAACAAUCCUUCAAAAAAACCUCAUUAAGCACUCCAGCUAUCACCAAAACCAAGGGCACAACACGGAUAAGUGUUUUAAGGUGAAAGAUCUCCUAUAGGAGAUGGUCAGAUUAGGGGCAUUGAACUAGUUCAUACAUUAGGCCCAUAAUGACCAUGGCAAGAAAUCUUUUAGGGGUCAUUGUCGGGGACAAAGAGACGAACGACACAGUGGCCGAGGUAAGGAUUCAUAUCGUGUGGGAACUCUUGAUAGAAGCAGAUCCAAGACUACUCAACCCAAGGUAGGAGAAUCCCACCGUGAAUAAGAAAACCCAGGAAUGCCCGAGGUAAGCAUAGGGCGUGGUGAAAUCAACACCAUAGUCGGAGGCUUCGUGGGCGGUGUGCAUACAAGCUCGGGCAAAAAGAGGCAUCUUAGGAGAAUUAACUCGAUCAUCCUCCUACCACCUUGUUCCCUGCCAAACAUCCUCUUCACCAACGAAGAAUUUUUCAUUCAGGACCCCAAGCAAGACAAUCCAGUGGUAAUCACGAAACUAGAAGGUUAGAAGGAUCCUGGUCAAUCAAGGGAGUUCAACCAAUGUCUUGUUUUGAUCGGUAUCUAAGAAGUUGGACAUUCCCGAAAUGCAUGUACAAUCCUACCCAGACCCAUAGGUCGGAUUUGCUGGGCAAAGGGUCCAUACAAAAGGGUACAUUGACCUUCUUACCACUUUCUACACAAGGGAGACACAUCGGUCUCUGACAGUCUGGUACAUCUUGGUUGAUGUCAACACAUUAUAUAAUGCCAUCAUUGGUUGAAGAACCUUAAGCUAGUUAGAGGUUGUGGUAUCAACACCCCAUAUGACGAUGAAAUUUCAGGGUGAACAAGGUGACAUCAUCAAUGUCAAGGUCGAAUCAAAGGUGGCUUGGGAAAGCUACACCCAAAACUUAAAAAUUGCUCCUUACUCAGUUACGAGGUUGGCUAAACCAGGAUCAAGGCAGAACCUGGUUUACUUGGAGGAGGUAGAAAAAUCAACAGGCCAGGACAUGGGGAAAACACAAAAUCUGCAAUAUAAAGAUCUACAAUGAUUCUAAAGAGCUUGCAUAACCAAUCUCCCAACCACUGGAGCUCGGAGAGGUGGAUCUUGUUUUGAGGGCAAAAUUUGACGAAAAUCGCCCAACCUUUGACGAGCCCAUGGCAGAAGUACAACUUGAAAUUAGUGUUGACAAAUGCACUAAUGUUGGAGGAUUGAUAAGUAGAUCUCUGAGAAAGGAGAUUGAAAAAAGUGUUGAAAAGCAAUACAAAUUUAUGUGGGUGGAAUGCUUCGUACAUGCCAUGAAUAGACUCAGACUUUAUAUCCCACAAGCCAAACCGAUCUCCUAGAGAAAAAGAAAGCUCAGGGAUAAGAGAAGGUUAAUGGCGGACCACGAAGUGAACCAAGUUUUAUCAGAAAAUCCUAGAAAACCUUAGAAAACGAGGAAAACGUAACAAAUAGAGAACAAAAAAUGUCCAAAACAUUGGAGAAAAUAAUCCGUAAAAAAUUUGAUUAGAAAAUCCUAAAAAAUGCGAGAAACGUAACAAACAUAGAACCAAAAUUAUGAUAAACCCUACGGAACUAAUGGUCAAAGAGAUGAAGAGAAUAGUCAGAAAAACAUAAAAGCAAGAAACAAUGAAGAGAAAACCCUAUAAAUUGCAUCAGUUGCGAAAAACGUAUCAAACAGAUAACCAAAAAUUUCCAAAACACUGCAGAAAAGAAACAGCAAAAGAGACGAAGAAGAUCGACAAAAAAGAUAAAAGUUCGCAACUUUGAUCAGAAAACCCUAAAAAAUGAGAAAAAACGUAACAAACAGAGAACUAGAAACAAAAAAAAUGGAGAAAACGCAAAUGAAAACAUUUUGGCAAACAAUCUAAAUAGGUAUGAUAUGGAUGCACAAAAAAUGAAAAGAAAUGAUAAAAAGAAUCACCUGUUCUUCGGAAAAUGAAAAGAAGAGAAGAGAAAUAAAUGGGUAUUUUUUUAUCAGAACCUAUAUAAACUCAAAAACCCAUUGCGUUUUCCAUUUCAGAAUGGCUAUGUACAACACCAUAUAUAUAGGGAAAAACAGUUGUCAUUGUCAUUUCAAAUUUCAAAAGCAUGCGCCAUUUCUAUAGAUGUCUAAUGGUGUUCCUAAGCUAAAAUGCUUUCCAAUACGACAUAUAUGCAGUUGCCAAAAUGUUGAAAAGGAGUAAAGGAAAAAUGAGAGAAGGGAGGAUAGAAGAUUAAGAUGAAGGGUUGCGAUUAUGGUUUAAGAGAAAAGAGAGUGAUCAGGUUUCAGAGAGAGAGAACGGGGAAAGCGAAAAAAAAAACACUAGAAAUGGUGCUCAACAACAUUUGUUGGAUUUUGCAACGCAUAGUCAUACACAGGAAAGGAAAACCCUAAUUGCCAGCCACACAGAACACACCUUCAAAAACCCAAAUUUUUCCUCCACCUCUACACAUUGUGCUGGUUCACUUAGUGUAAGCCAACUGAAGUACGGGCCCAUUUUCUUCUUUGGGUAAAAUUCUUUUAUGAUUUUUUUUAAAAAAAGGUGAGUGACACGUGUAUAAAAUUUCCUGUUUGUGAUCCCUCGAUGUAUCAUGUACAGAUAAAUAUGUUCAUAAAUAUAUUUAAGAAAAUAUUUAAAAACUAACUAAAGAAACUAAAAUAAGUAUUUAGUUAAAAAUAAGGUUUUUAUCUCUACAAUAUCAUGAUUCUAAAAAAACACUUCUUAAAUAUUCAAAAAUUAUGUCUCUACACUUUAAAUUACGAGAUUCUUAAGAUGUGUAGGACAAAUAACAUUAUAAAUUUAAUAUUUAAUUAUACUUUUAGUUUCUAAACCUUGGACUAAUUUUGGUUUUGGCGUCCAAAUUCAAAAAAAGGUUAACUUAACCCCUUUAUAAUUGGAAAGAAAUUAUAUCGAUUUACUUACUAAAUACUAAAUUUAAAGGAGUCAGAAUUUAAUAUUUAUAAUUUAAAUUUGAAGACUUAAGGUUUAAAACUAUUUUGACCUUCCAAAUUAAUAUUUCAUAACUAAAAUUAUAUAUUUCUUUUUUAAUUUUGAGUGACUAAAAAACAGCUUUUAAAAUUAUAUCUCUGUGCAGAUAACUUUUUAGAGACUAAAUACAUCAUUAAACUUAAAAUUUAUCUCCUAAUAAUCUAGGGAAAACCUUAAAAGAGUGGGCCCUGGCGGCUUCUUUUGUCUGUGACAGCAACAAGACUGUGACCUGUGCACUCAAAUUACAGAUUUUGAGGUUUUAAAAUCCUUAAAAAACCAAUAUUUUCCAUCAUGUACUUCUUCGUUUACUUGUUCUUCAAAAUUUUCUGUUGAAACUUAAGAUCCGUUGCUAGUGACCACUCUCUAAGUUGAGCUAGUAAUUAUCGAGAAAAAUGACAGAUGCAAUUAGUUUCUUUGAAUUGAACACAGGAGCCAAGAUACCCUCAAUUGGGUUAGGCACAUUUUCUGUUGAUUCUACUUCUAUAACCACUGCCAUCAAGGUAUAUUAGAAGUGAAUUCUAUCUAUUUUAACUUAUUAUAGUGUUUUCAUAGACUUCACUUUAGAUUGUUCUUUGGUUAAGAUUAUGUGAAUGGUAAACAAUUCUUGUUUGUAGUAUUGUAUGUAGAAAAUCUAACCCAAGAAUAGUUUGGCUCAUGACUAUUGUAUGUGUUGAUGAUAAAUUCAGGUGGGUUACAGGCAUAUCGACUGUGCUGAAGCCUAUUCCAAUCAAGCAGAGGUAAUUCAAUUUGAUGAUAAUCUUGAAUAUAUGAGCAUAUGAUAAUGAAUCUAUCACCUCAUUUUGCUCACUGGAUCACUGUCAGAACUACACAGCAUAUGAAUUUUAUUUUAUGGUAAAGUGCUUGUGAUAUGUCUCAGCAUAUGCUUACUCACAUGAUAGAAUUCAUUUUGCUUUGGUAAAGUUUUUCAGUGUCUUAUUAUAGUCAAUAUAUGUUCUUGUUUGAUUAUAGAAUGUUGGUUUCUGUAGAUUGGUUCUGCUCUCAAGAAGCUUUUUGAAAGUGGUGUUGUGAAGCGUGAGGACUUGUGGAUUACCUCCAAACUCUGGUUUUAUUAUUGUCUUCUUAUUUUUCUGAAAGUUUGUUAAUGUUGGAAUGAUAUGCAUGUUUGCAUUUGGUUUCUCAACACAGAUCCUCUUUUUACUAUACACAGGAACACAGAUCAUGAUCCAGAAGAUGUACCAAAAGCACUUGAAAGAACUUUACAAGAAUUGCAACUUGACUACGUAGAUCUCUAUCUUGUAUGUGCAUUCUUUCCUUUUCUGCUUUGUGAGUUUCUAUUGUAGAUGUGGAACACUAAACAUUUCAAGUCCAUUCAUGGUUUCUAAAUUCAGUUUUUCUUCUGGUUUUAUGCAACAGAAUUAAGUUCUUUUUUCAAUCAAUUGAAAUGGUUCAAUUUGUAGAUACAUUGGCCAGUGAGUAUGAAAAAGGGAUCAGUUGGAGUUCAACCUGAAAAUGUUAUACAACAUGACAUACCAAGCACAUGGAGAGCAAUGGAGGCUCUCUAUGACUCAGGCAAGGCUAAAGCCAUAGGAGCGAGCAAUUUCUCUUCAAAAAAGCUUCAAGAUUUAUUGGAUAUAGCAAGAGUGCCUCCUGCUGUUAACCAAGUGGAAUGCCACCCACAAUGGCAGCAGCCAAAGUUGCAUGCAUUCUGUGAAUCCAAAGGAAUUCACCUAUCUGUAUGUAUAUCACACAUUAAGUCACUCUAUGUUUCACAAUGCAUGUAUUUGUUGCAUUUUGGAUAAACUUUUCUGAGAAAACUGUGAUGAUUUUGGUACUUCAAGUGGUGUGUAUAUAUAUAUGUCAAUCAAACAACACAUUGUUCUGAUUGCUGAUCAUCUGUUACAAAUACAAUGAAUUUCUUUUUAAGGGGUUUUCUCCAUUGGGGUCACAAGGAUUUCUCAACAGUGAUGUUCUUAAGAAUCCUGUUAUCAAUUUAGUUGCUGAGAAACUUGGGAAAACACCUGCUCAAGUAGCCCUUCGGUGGGGCAUUCAAACGGGUCAUAGUGUGCUACCAAAGACCUCCAAUGAAGCCAGGAUCAAGGAAAAUUUCGAUGUCUUCAACUGGUCUAUUCCUGAGGAGCUGAUGGCUAAGUUAUCUGAAAUUAAACAGGCAAGUAGCUAAAACUUAACCCUUUUCUGUUUUCUUUCAAAGUUUUUAUUCUCUUAUUAUUUAUCUCCUCUUCAACUUUUGAGUAACAAGUGGAAUUUACUCCUGCAGGGAAGGCUUAUAAACGGCACUGGAUUAUUUGUUCAUGAAAGCAGUGAGGUCUACAAGACUGUUGAAGAACUCUGGGAUGGUGAAUAAUGUGGUAGAAUAUGCAACACAUUUUACAAGUCCACUGAAAAAAUUGUUUUUUUUUUUUAUAUAAAUUUUUUUUAUGUUAGACAUCAGAGUUUGUUUGUGUUUAAGCAGUAUAUUUUGGAGUCGUGUGACAAAUCUACUUUAUGGAGUUUGUGUGUAAUCAUACCUUGACAAGGACACAUUGAAUUCAGUUAUGGUUGUUGGUGACAGUGCUUCAUAGAUGAAUCAAAAUUCAUGAAUGUUGUGUUUCUGAAGCUCAAACAUAUUUUUUGCCAAUACCUGUUUUAUUCUCUCUUUCUGCCUUAUUCACUUCACAAUUUGACCAUUUUAGUAUAAACUUUUUGUUAGAAUUUUAAACAUGAGAUAUUCACCUAUCUAAUCUCUUAAUAUUUUGGAUUGAAAGUGAUGUUUUUAUUUAUUUAUAAAUGAAAUAAUCAUGGUUCAUUGCUCUAUAAUCACUUGAUGUUUUUGUACAUAAAACUCAUCACUUGGAUUUACAGAAACAUAAACCUCAUCAUCCUUAAUAAAGCAAAUAUCAUAUUGGCUUACCCACAACUGAAGCCAAAAGUGUAAUUUAAGUUCGUUGUUUAUUACUAGGAUCAUGAUUCAUUUAUUUUUUUUACAGUGACCUUAUAAUAAUAUAAAUUAUUAUUUUAUUGUAAUAUAAUAUUUUAUUAAGAAAAAUAGUUGUAAAGUAGUAUUUUUGAAUGCUUUUGGAAAACAGUGAUGUCAAAAUAUAUUUGUCCUUAUUACUAUGAUUACUAAUGCGAGACAAUGAAAUUAAUGAUUAUUAGCUCAUUAUUUUGCUUCGUAUUUAAAUUAUAAUUGUAAAACACAAAAAGCAAGAAUUCUACAGGGUGAGUUGAUAAAUUAGAUAAUUCUUGUGAUGUCUUCUCUAUUACUAUGAAGGUCCUUUUCUUAUUGUCUUUUGAUUUUUUUUUUCUUGAAAAUUGCCAUCUCAAGUCAUUUUUAGGGCAAAAUUAUAAUUUUUUUACUAAAAACUAAUUUUAGUAAUAUAAAUAUUUAUAAUUAAAAAUAACAACGGUCAAAUAAAAAUCAUAAUAUAAGUUUUGACAGUGAAAAUUUUUUUUACCAACGGUUCAAGUUAACAAUCAUCGUUAAAAGUACUAUAUAUUUUUUCAAAGACAUUUGGUUUUAUCAUCAUUAAUUUAUAUUUUAUAAUCACUGUUUUUUAUUUACAACCGUUGUUAAAAUAAUUUUAUCAGGAAUGAUUAUAAAAUUGUCGUUAAAUGAAGUCACUGAAGGAUUGUUAAAAGUGAAAUAAGAAAAACUUAUAACAACGAUUGUUCACUUAAACCGUCGUUAAAACAAUUGUUGGUUUCAACGUCACAACUUAUAUCGAUAAUUUUUGUCAACCAUCCAUGUUUUUAGUUUUUAAAAAAAAAUUAGGAUUAAAUAUUGUCAUUAUCACAAUUUACGUGCUAGUAUGUGUUGUAGCGAAAUUUAAAUUAAAUUUAAAUAUAAAAAAUUCAAUAAAACAUAAUAAUUUAAAUAAUAAAUUGAAUAUGAAAAAUUUCUAUAGUCAACUUAAUGUCAUUCUAAUGAGUCAUUUAUCCUAAUGUGGUAUAUAUGAUUACAAAAUAUUUUGACCAUGUUUUCCUAAUAUAUUCCAGUGCUUUUGACUCCAACGGGUUGUGGGUCAAUGAAAAAUUGUAAUAUUUAAAAAUUAUUUUGAUUAGUGCUAAAGUAAUAAAUAUUAAAUUUCAAUUUAUUAGUGUAUUGUUGUUUUACAUGAUCCCAACCUCUCUCAAUUCCAGCUCGAACAAUAGUUGACAUCCACUGCAUUACAUAGUAAUCACAUUCAUAACUUCUAGAUUGCUUAUUGCACUACAAGUCAAAAUAAAAGUUAUUAGAUUAAUCAAUGACACAUAUUCAAGUGAGUGAACAAAUUUACUUUAAAUACCUUGAGGUGCUUCCAAGUGAGUUUUUUUAUCUUGCACUUGGCCUACAACUCAAUAUGUUAUGUCCAGAGUAAACAUUCAAAUAACAAGAUACGAUGACUUAUCAAAUUGAUAUCAACAAUGCCUUUCUCCAUGGUGACUUAUCACCUCCUGUCUCCAUGCAACAACCACCUGGAUUCUCUGCUGACUCUACUCUUGUUUGCCGAUUGAAUAAAGCCAUAUACGGUCUCAAACAAGCACCUCGCGCCUGGUUUUAAAAGCUUUCUACAACUCUUCUUCAUCUAGGCUUCGUUGCUUCCCAAAGUGACACUUCUCUCUUCACACGGUUUACUCAAUCUCACACUAUCUUUAUCCUAAUUUAUGUUGAUGAUAUCUUAGUUAUUGGUAGUUCUUUGUUCUUAGUGCAGGAUUUCAUCAAACAAUUAAGCUUAUAUUUUGCCCUAAAGGAUCUUGGACCGCUGCAUUACUUCUUAGGAAUCGAAGUUUCUUGGCUUAAAAACAAUUCUAUUCAUCUAUCUCAAGCGAAGUAUAUUAAAGAUCUCAUACGUCGCACUAACAUGGUCAACUCCAAGCCCCAACCUUCUCCAAUAUUUUCUUCUCUACGACUUACUGAUGAUGAAUCCGUCUCCGUCGAUGAUCCAACUUUAUAUCAGUCCAUUGUUGGUGCUUUGCAAUAUGCUACUAUUACCAGACCUGAAAUCUCCUUCUCGAUUAAUUGAGUUUGUCAGUACAUGCAUAAGCCACAAAUUCAUCAUUGGGAAGUUGUGAAACGUAUUCUGCGAUACUUGGUUGGCACUCCCACUCACGGUCUUCUCUUAACUCCUUCACCAACCUAUUCUAUCACUGGUUUCAGUGAUUCUGACUGGGCCACGGACUUGGAUGAUCACAAGUCUACCACUGGAUAUUGCAUAUUUGUGGGUCACAAUCUUGUGCCUUGGUCCUCAAAGAAACAAAAAGUUGUCUCCAGAAGCAGUACUGAGGCUGAGUACAAAAGCAUUGCCGCUGCCCUUGCUGAUAUUAUCUUAAUCUAGUCACUGAUGAAUGAACUACGCAUCCCUUCUUCCACUCCAACAAUUCAUUCUGAUAAUCUCGGUGUUGUUCAUAUUGCUGUCAAUCCUGUUCUGCAUUCUCGUUCCAAACAUUUCGAGCUUGACUUGCAUUUCGUCCAUGACCGUGUUCAGCAUAAGCAGAUGUUGGUUGUUCAUCUCCCAUCUCAAUUUCAAAUCACCGAUGUUCUAACAAAACCUUUGUCAGGGACGAUGUUUCAGAAAUUCAAAAAUAAACUUCGGGUGGUUGAUAACUCACCCAUAAGUUUAUGGUGGGGGGGGGGGGGGGGUGUUAGAUAUAAUACUGGUAGUGUUGUUAUAUAGCUUAUAUUUAUGUUAUAGUAGGUUCUUUACAUAGGUCUUUCCCAUAUAUAACUAAAGGUUCAGCCCCUAUGUAAUCACUUUUGAAUACAAAAUAAUAUUCCCUUUUACUCUUUCUCCUUUACUCUUCCUGUUACAUUUACACUUUCUAAUGAGCAACCUAGUGAUCUUUAGAUCACACUUUUUGUUUUAGGGGUGACGAUCCGUUUUAGUUCGAUCCGCCACUAGCUUGCCAAAAGCGGAGUAGGAAGGGCUGACCCAUCAAGGUUAUGCAAGUUGAAAUUGGUAACUCGUCUGGUCAUAGGGUGUGGGUUGGCAAGUUAACACGUCACUUUUAAAAAAAAAUUCAAUUUUUUUUCUUUUUUCUAAUAUUUUUUGGUUUAGAUCUAUUUAUUUGGUUGUAGUCAUUGAUAACUUUUUGGACAAUAAAAAUGCAAGAAAGAGUAAUAGCAUCGAAUCAAACUUUAAUAUCUAAUCAAAGAAAAUUUAAUGUCUAACAAAAUAAAGUAAAUAUCAACAAUAUUUCAAUGAGUCAAAUGGUGUAUAAAGAAGUUAAUGUAAAUAAAGUUUUAUAUAAAAUAUUGAUCACCACCAAUUAUAAUUCCAAAAACAUGAUAUUCUUCUUUUAAAGUGAAAAAAUAAAGAAAGGCGGGAUGACAAAGUAGUCUACCUCACUCCGCUUGUGACCCGCUGUAUUGAUGUGUUAAACAAAUCGAACCAAUAAAAAAGGUUUCACCUAAUUGAUGACGAGUUGACGGGUCAAUUCGCCGAAUCCAAACUACUAUAUCAUCCCUAGUUAUUUUUAUUUUCAUGGUUGCUAACUCUGCAUCCAAAUAUCUUCCUGAUUUGGCAAGGAUGAUAAGCAACCUUUUUGGCAGCUAUUCCAGGGUUAAUCAUGAAUGUUGUUGCAAGCAUGGUUCCACAAAGAGAACAUACAUUAGCAAUGUGAUAAUGAGAAUAUAAUAGGUGUGAAAGCUGUCAUGCAGAAGAUAUGCAGCUCUCUGUGAAAGCAAAGAGUCACGUUCCAUUUCACCAUAUUCAAUUCCUUCACCACGUUCCAAUAUAUUAAAAUUUAAUGCAGUCCAAUUUUUGCUCACACUCUUAACCUUUACACAAUUAAAAUAUUAUUUUAAUUGAAUCAAAUAAUUAUUUUUUGACAGUGAUCCAAAUGUUAUAAAGAUUUCACAUAAUUCAUAAUUUUUUAAGUCAUGGUUUAUGAGUAUUGAAUACAAUAUUUUUAUUAUAAAUUCAACUAAAACUUACAAAUAAAUAAAUUAAAUUUAGUUUUCAGUUAUAUUUGAAUACAAAAAGAAAUUUAUAAUUUUACGAAAAUCAAACACAAUUUCAAUUAAACACCAGAAACUUUUAUUUUUUUUACUUUAUUUUCCUUAAUUCAAAGAAGUUGACUUUGACCGAACUUUCUCCUCAAAUCCAGUGUGGGAUCUUUAUGAAUAUUUAAGAAUGGCUUGAAUUAAAUGAGUGUCUGAAUAGGUAAAAAUGGUAACUGUCUGGAAUCUAAUCCACCAAACCAUGGUAAAAAUGCUUCAUCAUCUUCAUGUUUUCGCCCAUAAAUACACAUACAUUGCAUCCAACUCAAACCAUAGUCAAACCACCCAUUAGCAGCGUUUGGAUAUUUUUCUACCAAUUUGUGCUUAUUAUUAUUAUUAUUGAGAGAAAAAAUGGGCAAGUUAAUCCAAUUCUUUGAGUUGAACACAGGGGCCAAAAUCCCUUCUAUUGGGUUAGGCACAGGGCAAGCUGAACCAGGAAUUGUGGCAAAAGCUAUCACCACGGCCAUUCAGGUAAGUAAAACUUCAUUUCGACUAAUUUUUUUCCCUUUUUCAAUAAUGGAUAAAAAGAUAAAUUUGUUAAUGGUUAAAUUUUUUAUUACUAGAGAAAUCAUAUUUAGAUUUAUCUGUUUUGGCAAACAUUUUUGUUGUUUCGAUUUGUCCUAUGUAGGACUGAUAACUGAUUUUGAUGUCCGGUCAGUGUUGUUCAGGUUGGAUACAGACACAUUGACUGUGCUCAAGCUUAUGACAAUCAAGCAGAGGUAAUAAUGAUUCAAGUUGAUAACUUUUAUAGUCCAGGGUCCAUUUUUUUCUCAUCUUAUCAAUUUUUAAUUUUGUAAUAUUGCCUUUGCUCUCUAGUAAUAUGUGAACUGUCAAAGAUUGUUAAUUGUGAGAUGUUUCAGGUUAUGCUAUUAAGGUUAUGUAGUUUUGUUUUAAUAAAAAUAGAGAAGUAGUGACAACUCAAUCAAUUUUGAAAGCUAAUUGACAUUUUAUUUUGAAUCAUGGUUUUCCCAGAUUGGUUCUGCACUUAAGAAAGUUUUUGAUGAUGGUGUGGUGAAGCGUGAGGACUUAUGGAUAACUUCCAAACUCUGGUUUGGUGCCUUUUGAAAAUUGUGUUUUAUGUUUGAACAUUCGAAAAGAUUGUGUGUUUGAUUGCUGAAUGGAGAUCCUUUGCUUUGUUGGCUAUAUUUUCAGGUGUACUGAUCAUGGUCCAGAAGAUGUGCCAAAAGCAUUGGAUAAAACAUUACAGGAUUUGCAACUUGACUACCUUGAUCUCUAUCUGGUAAGCAUGCAUUAUGUUUACUGAUAUGUUAAUCAUAUAAUGGGACUCAUAUUUCAAUGAAUAGGAUAUUGUCUCUUUGAAAAAGAGGGUCUAAUAGUAUAUUGUUAGCAUUGUUUUACAAAUAAGGCUAUCACAAGUGAACCAAGUUCAAUGGUUUCAUUCAUGUAAUUCUACUAACUUUGGUUUUCUGGGAUUCAUUCCUUUUUAUUCAGUAUUAUCUUGAGUCUCUUCCUUCAUACAAACUAAAUUGAUUUAUGCUGUAGAUCCACUGGCCAGUCCGCAUGAAAAGUGGAUCAGUUGAAUUCAAGAAUGAAAAUCUGAUUCAACCAGACAUUCCCAGCACAUGGAGAGCAAUGGAGGCACUUUAUGACUCUGGCAAGGCUAGAGCCAUAGGAGUGAGCAAUUUCUCUUCAAAGAAGCUUCAAGAUUUGUUGGAUAUAGCAAGAGUACCUCCUGCUGUUAACCAAGUGGAAUUGCACCCAGGAUGGCAACAACCAAAGUUGCAUGCAUUUUGUGAAUCUAAAGGAAUACAUAUAUCUGUAAGUAUGGAAUGUAUGAUACAUACUUGUUGGUACUUUCACAUAAAUACAAGCCUGUUAUUCCUGUAAGUUAUUACUUGCAAAGAAAAUGAUCACUUUUGGUGAAAAUGUCUACAGGGCUAGUUAAAAAUGAAUUUGGUUUAUACUCAAAUUAAAUUGAUGGUUUCUCAACAACCAUUCUUUAUUCUUCUCAUAUUUGCAUUCUAACUGUAUCUAUGACGAAUUUCUUUCCAGGGCUACUCUCCACUAGGCUCACCAGAGUUUCUGAAAAGUGACAUUCUUAAGAAUCCUGUUGUGGUAGAGAUUGCAGAGAAAUUGGGGAAGACACCAGCUCAAGUGGCCCUUAGGUGGGGAUUGCAAUCAGGUCAUAGUGUGCUGCCAAAGAGUACUAAUGAGUCCAGGAUCAUAGGAAACUUUGAUGUCUUUGACUGGUGUAUUCCAGAAGAACUAAUUGCCAAGUUCUCUGAAAUCAAGCAGGCAAGUAGUUAGUUAGUUAGGGUGUGUUUAAUUUCUUUUUCAAAAACUGCUUUUAGUUUUCAAGAUACAACUAACCAGGUUGCAAGACACAGUGUAGAAUUGAGGAAGAGUUCAACAAGAAGAGAAACGUUUUGUUCUUAUAGACUUUAAAAUACUUAUUUUGAAAUAAUUUUCAAAACUUCAUACGUUUUGGAUCAUAAAUUUUCAAAACUUAAAAGAUUAUGGAUGACUAAUGAAUUGGUGAGUGAGUCCUGUGAAAUUAUUAUGUAAAACAAUUUUUAAAAGAAGGGUAUUAAACAUGCCCUUGGAAUAAUCUAGUUUUUCUGUUCUUUCUUAAAGCUUGAUAUUUUUGAAUUAACAGAAGGAAUUUGGUGAUGCAGGAUAGGCUACUUAAGGCCACAUUUUUUACCGACGAGACAUAUGGUGCCUAUAAGACCAUUGAAGAACUCUGGGAUGAUUAACUCUGACAAAUGUAUAGAAGUUGAUAUUUAUACUGUUCCUUUCUUGCUUUUUACCUGUUUUAGAAGUAUUAUUAUUCUUAAAGAACACAAAAGAAGUAACCAAGUCUUAUUUUUCAUUUAUGAUUAUUUUUCUAUUCGAUAUAAUAAAAAUGAGGGUUGAGAAUUUGACUAGUAGAAUCUAAAAGGAGUUAAAACUUUAAUAACUAAUUAGACACCAAUUUAGAAACUAGUUUAUAAAUUUUAUUAAUAACAUAAAUUAUUUUAAAUAUCAAUAAUUUUUUUAGUCGAUAUAAUUGUACUUGUAUAGACGAAGUGGGCCUAGAUAGUAACUGUGAUUGGUUGUAACAACUGUUGUGAAGUCAGUCGCUCAGUCAUCCUCUUAUUACUCAGUACUUCACUCCUUCAAAUGUCAAUACUCUUUCUUCUAAUUCCUCAACGCUUGGCCGGGAGUUAACUUGCAAAAGGUACUCCGACGAUCAAGUAAGAGUGUAUAGUGAAACUAAUAAAAAACAUACCUUACUCCACUAUAGAGAGUGUAUUUGUAACAUUGAGUUAUGGGAGCAUAUGUUUGAUGAGCCGAAUCUUGCAUGUAUCAGUGUUAGCUGAUUGCUAGGGAAGUUACUCUAAUUUCUCGAGACAUUACCCGGAUUUGAUGGGAUGUGACCUUGAAUCGUAGGGAGUUUCCACAACUACCUUAACUGUUAUUUAUUACAAGGCUUUGCAUAUACUUUCAACUGGUCGGUUGAUCACCGAGGUCGAGUGACGUGGCUCAUUCGGCACCGACUAAUACACUUGCCCCCCAUGCUCUAUGAAUGUUUGCUUCAGAAGAGUUUAGAUGUGACUAUUGGGUAUCCCGAGGUAAGAAGUGAUGUUGACGUAUUAAAUGUUGUGUCAAAGAUAUGACACACGUCUUUUCAACGUGUUGUUCGAGUUUUGCGCUUUUUGAUUAAAGAGAUCUAACGAUUGACAAGUCAUGUUGUUUCGAAUUCGAGCAUUGUACACCCUUAGAUUCAAACAAAUCUAACGGUUCAGAUGGAACAACGUUUCACUCCUUCAUUUUUGGAAAUCUUUAAAUAAAGGUGUUUUUCGAACUUUGUUACGUUUGCUUCUGCUUUCACUACAUCUAAGUUAUAAAGAUUUGUCUGAGUGUUGAGUGCUGAGUGCUAUUGUUCAAAUGCUUCAGUUUACUUUCCGACUUCCUUUUCUACAUUUUUUCUUCAAGAGGUUAGUAAUGACUUCUUCUUUGUCUUCUAGCCUUCUUUCUUGCUCUUCGUCUUCUGAGCGUACACAUUUCGAGCCUAAUGAGGUGAGGGAUGUGCGUUGUUUUAACUAGGCGGCCGACCUUGCUAGCCGACCGCCUUGCUAUCCAAAUUAUGAGUGGAUUGAUCCACGCGUCUUCGACCCUACUUGUUUUAAGGGUUCAUUCGCUUUAGAUGGAUUUUUGUCUGAAGUUCCCAUGUUAAAACCUGACUCCCCUUCGGACGUGGUUGCAGCCGAAACACAUCCACCAGGUCUGUCACAGUCGAGAAAAUGGCCUCAGGACUUUUUCUUUGUUUAUACUUGUCUUUUUAAUGAUUUGCAUGCAACUCUUCCCUUUGAUGAUUUCACAAUGGGGGUCCUUAGGAUUCUCAAUAUUGCUUCUAUAAUAAUGCUUGAUCGACUCACCAUGUGGGUUGGCUAUCUUUGUCAAGCCGUCCGAGUAGUAUUCUUUUCACCCCAUAUACCUCGUCCUACAAAAACCUCAAGGAGAGGUAUUUCAAGAUUUUCGUUGAACCGGAUGGCAAACCUUCCUUUUAUGAUUAUGAGGGAAAACCCAAAUUUCCAUUUCAUUGGACCCGGUCGCCUACACAUUAUACCUCAUAGUCGAGGUCUUCCAUGACCCGUCAGAUAAAGAAAUCUUUUGUAUGUUCUAUCAGCUUCCAUAGGCUCCCUACUUGGAAAAUUCUGACCAUAUACGAAUCGGCUCACCAAUGGGUGAUUUUACUAGUAUAUUACUGCAUGAAAAGCCUUAAUACUCCAAAAAAAUUUAUACAAGCACGAGCGAUCCCCUUCAAGCUCUCCCUUUAAAAUACUGUAAGCAGAAUUAACCGAAAACACUAGAGACACUCCAUCUUUCCAAGACCAAUUGUCAUCAUUACCCGAGUCAAGACUCAACCCAUGCACCACCUCAAGAAGCUGACAUACCUGAGCCUUCUCCCACUAAAAAAGACUCAUUUGCCAAACUAAAUUCCACCUCCAAACAAAGUAUCCCAAACCUCGCAAAGAUUCAACAAUGUAUCUUUUUUAACAUAGUGGGAGAACAACCUCAGGAAUUUACAUUUCAAAGCAACGUUACCCACCCACUUGUCUUCCCAAAAUUUUAUAUCCUUCCCAUUACUAACUUCCCAUUUAAUGCGAUCUUUGAAGUUCCUACCCCACUCCUUCAUCAUUCAAAUCUCCUUCAAAUCCCUCCACCAAAGAAAGUCACAGUUUUUGUCCUAUGCACUUUCAAACUUCUCCAUCCACCAUACUUAAACUCUAAAACAUCAUUCCACCGACCGUCCUUGAUUGAACCCAGCCACCAAAUCCAUUUUUCCAACAAGGCUACAUUAAAUAACUUGAUAUUAAUAAUGCCAUGCCAAGACCGCCAACUUCACGUAACUCACAAACCUUUUCCCAAGAAGGCCACACAAUAUUUUUUCCAUCAGAUCCCCAACCCCAAAGGAAGUUCAUUUGUAUCUUCACAAUCUUCUUCAACACAACUGAAGGUAUUUUAAACAUAGAUAAGUAAAACAACAAAAUAGCUGAAAGAACUAACUUGAUCAGGCAAACCUCCUAGCCAACGAAAUAAAUCUACCUUUCCAUCUCCCCAAUCUUGUCUUUAUUCUUUCAACCACUCCAUCCCAAAAUGCUCCCUUCCUAUGGCACCCCUAGGUAUUUGAAAGGAGUUUUCAUAAUAUCAAAAUUAAGAAUAGCCGCAAAACAACGAAUCGUAAAUUGAUCAACCCCCACCCUUCGAAUACUACUCUUUAAGAAGUUCACCUUGAGACCAGAAGCCAACUCAAAAAAAUUCAAAAUAGCCUUUAUGUUGAACAUGCUUUUGGUAGUCGCUUUGCAGAAAAACAAAGUAUCAUCAGCAUACUGAAGCAUAUUAACCUUAACCUUCUUCUCUCUAAUCUCUAAACUCUCCAUCAAAUCUUUCUCAACUACUUUCCUUAACACUCCUGCUAAGCCUUCUGCCGCUAUAAGAAACAAAAUUAGAGCUAAGGGGUCUCCUUGUCUCAAACCCUUUAACGGAAAAAAUCCUUAGUCGGGCUACCAUUUACGAGAACAGACACAAAAGCAGACUCUAAACAAGAUUAAUCCAAACAAUCCAUUUUUAACAUAAGCCUAAUCUUCCUAACAUAUAAUAGAUAAACUCUCACCUCACAUAAUCGUAAGCCUUCUCAUAAUCCACCUUGCAAAAGACACACCUUUUCUUCUUUCUUUUCGCCUCCUAUAACACCUCAUUGGCCACAGGAACACUGUCCAAUAGUCCCCUUCCUUUGAGAAAAGUUGAUUGCCUUGAAUCAAUGACUUUACUAAUCACCAUUUUUAGCCUUAAAGAUAGUAACUUCAAAAUAAUUUUGUACAAACACCCGACCAAAGUAAUGGAUCUAAAAUAAAAAAGUUGUUGUGGAUUCUCUGACUUAGGGACCAAGAAAACAAACAAAGCAUUCGACCCUCUGGGCCAUUUAUCAGAAAUUGCGAAAUCAUUCACUGCCAUAAGGAUAUCCUCCUUAAAAAAAAUCCCACAAAACUUAAUGAAACCGAAAUUAAACCCAUCUUGACCAGGGCUUUUCGAACUAUCACAACUUCAAAUAGCAAAUUUGACUUCCUCUUCAAAAGAAGAACUAACCAAAAUCUCGUUCUCAACAUCAGAAAUAAAAUUAAAGGACACACUAUCCAACCUGACCUGAGGCCUAGCAACUUCUUCAAAUCUAAUUUUAAAAAAAAUUGUAACCUUGUCCUUAACCACGUCAUUAUCUUCACACCAGAGACCAUUAACAAACAAACCAUUAAACCCGUUCCUCACCCUCCUCCAUUUUACAACCGAAUGGAAAAACUUUGAAUUAAGGUCGCCAUGUUUCAGCCACUUAAGGCGGGCUUUCUGAUGAAUAGCAACUUCUUGUUUAAAUAAAUUCCUAUUUUGUUUUGCUAACAAGGUCCUCCUUUCCUCUCUUCCUUCCUCGUCUAAGACGCCUUCAACAUCAUGUGCAUCCAACUCUUGGAUUUUCUUUUGUAGAACUUCCUCUAUCUGAUUAACAUUGCUAAACACAUCUCUAUUCCAGAUUUUAAAUCUGAUUUUAACUUUUUUUAAAUUUUCUUUUAGAACAAACAUCCCUCUACCAUAUACCUCAUAGCUAAACUAUUUACAGUGUACACAAUCUCUAAAUUUGUCGUUAGUUUGCCAAAUAUCGAGACUUUGAAAUGCUUUCGACCCCCAAUUCGAACAAGUAUCUUUUAACAGUAAAGCACAAUGAUCAAAGACGGAUCUACUUAUUACAAACUAUUUACUAUUCGACCACUUUUCCAACCAUUCCCUGGAAACCAAAACUUUGUCAAUUCUACUUUUAACAUACCCAUUUGGUUUGUACCAAGUAAAUUUUCGACCAACCAUCGGAAUAUCCACCAAGUCAUCUUUUUCUAUAAAAUUAUUAAAGCCACUUAUUUGACUGCUAUAAUCAGACACAGAAAUCAAACUUUUUCUCUCCUUCCUUCUAAUAUAAUUGAAAUCCCACACAACGCACCAAACCUUGUUUAAUUGGCUCAACCUGAAUACACUGGUCUCUUCCCAAAUCAUCUUCUUUUCCCUCAACGAACUAGUGCAGUAAACAUUCACAAUAGUAACUUGUAUCCCGUCACCAAACUUUCACUCCCCAAUAAUAGAUUUUUUUUUACGUUAAAAGACCUUGAUAACUAAAAGCAGUUCCUUCUCCACAUCGUAAUAAUCUCUCCUGCAUUAUUGGUAGUACCAUUUUCGACCCAAUCAAUUUCAUUAGAACCCCACAAAUUAAAACAAUUAUCUUUGCCGAACUCAAAACACUAGUCUCUUAAAUACAUAUUGUACUGAUAGGUCAAAACCGAGAGGUUAAGCCGAAAGCUAAUACCGAAAUAACCUCUCGGUUAUAACAAUAAAUAUAUUGUGCUGAUAGGCAAAAACCGAGAGGUUAGGCCGAAAGCUAAUAUCAAAAUAACCUCUCGAGUAUAACAAUAAAUAUAUAAAAUAAAAUUAAAACAUAUAUAUAUGUAGCAAGGCCCAAAUUACAUAAGAAACCUAUGUUAGGGGGUGCGUAAAUAAUAAAAUGGUGUAGAAAGAAAGUUCAAAGGUAAAGUGAAAAGCCCAUUAAGGAAACUCUAUAAAUAGGAGAUCAACAUGAAAGGUAAGUCAGAGUGAAUUUUAUUUGAUGAACAUUACAUCGUUUCUGACUUUAGCAUCGGAGCGACUUGCAGGUACACCCCCCAUCUGUGUGAAGGAGAAGCCGAGAGCACUUAGCUGAAGGAGAAGCCGAGAACACUUAGCUGAAGGAGAAACCGAGAGCACUUAGCUGAAAAAGAAGCCGAGAGCAUCUACCUUGAGGAGAAGCCUAGAGCACCCAUUGUGAGGAGAAGCCCAGAGAAUCCAACCCAAAGUUCAGAAGAUUUGUAUGAGUUAAUCUUGUCAACCUAAUUCUAGUGUUCUUGGUCCUUGUAAUGGAUAGAAGCAGAAGCAUUGACUAAGAUAACGGCUCAGCAAGUUCAAACGUUUGUAUGGAAAAAUAUAAUAUGUCGAUUCAGAAUCCCACACACUAUUGUAAGUGACAAUGGCCGACAAUUCAUUGACAAAAAACUUAUGGAAUUUUAUGUAGAUUUGGGGAUCAAGUCCACAACCACUUCAGUUGAACAUCCGCAAACGAAUGGACAGGCUGAAGCUGCAAACCAAGUUAUUCUUGGACAAUUAAAGAAGAAGUUAGGGAGUGCUAAAGGUUUAUGGGUCGAGAAGUUGCCAGAGAUAUUAUGGGCAUAUCGAUGCACACCACAAACGUCAACUGGUGAAACACCGUUCAAUAUCACCUAUGGAACAUAUGCAAUGUUACUGGUAGAAGUUAAUGAACCAACGUUACAAAGGCAAAUAGAAGACUGGAAUAUCAACAAUGAAUGUUUAAGAACUGACCUUGAUCUUAUUGAAGAGCUUAGAGAAAAAGCAAAAAUAAAAGAGGCAACAGUAAAGAGAAGGGCAAUGAAGAGAUUUAAUGCAAAGGUAAAAUUAAGAGAUUUUAAAGAAGGGGAUUUAGUAUGGAGAAUGCGAACUGAGGCUCGAAAAGAUCCAUGACAUGGAAAGCUAGCAUCCAACUGGGAAGGUCCAUUCAGGGUGCUAGAAAAUUUUCAAAAUGGAGCCUAUAAAUUAGAAACUUUGGAAGAGAAAGUGAUACCAAGAACGUGGAAUGCAAGUCAUUUAAAGUUUUAUUUUAGUUAAAAUAGAAGAUCCAAGAGGAAGACUUGUAUGUACAUACUUAUCGUUUAAAUGGAGAAGAAGCAUUAUUAAGUAACAAAAUUCAUCAUGUUAACUUUCAUGUUUUGAUUUCAUUCCAGAUAAAAUUCUCGACAUUUACUUCAAAUUCUUUCAGUCUUAGAUGCUUUCACUUCAGGUGAAAUCCCUCCCGAGAGAAUAUUUCAUAUAACUCUUUCGGUCUUGGAUGCUUUCACUUCAAGUGAAAUCCCUCUCGAGAGAAUAUUUCCUAUAACUCUUUCGGUCUUGGAUGCUUUCACUUCAGGUGAAAUCCCUCCCGAGAGAAUAUUUCAUAUAACUCUUUCGGUCUUGGAUGCUUUCACUUCAGGUGAAAUCCCUCCCGAAAGAAUAUUUCAUAUAACUCUUUCGGUCUUAGAUGCUUUUACUUCAGGUGAAAUCCCUCCCGAGAGAAUAUUUUCUUAUAACUCUUUCGAUCUUGGAUGCUUUCACUUCAAGUGAAAUUCCUCCCGAAAAGACGUCUUUGAAUAAAUCUUUCAGUCCUGAACGUUUUAAUGUCAGGAGAAAUCACUCGCGAGAAUAUUUCCUUGUAAAAAACAAAAGGUCCCAGUUAACAAGUGAUUAAUAGACUUAUGCAUUCAAAACUGCAAGGUCCAGGGCAAUAAUUGCAUGAUUCAAAAAACCAAAAGAUUUUGCAUCAAAACCGAGAGGACCAACCACACAUUCAUGUGACAACACUACUCACGAUUCAACCUCAGCAACUAAAGGGUUCACAAUAUUGUCAAUCAUAUCAUCAUGAAAGUGGAAAACGUUAGAUCUAUCUAUAAUAAGUUCCAAAAAUAAAUCAAAGUUUAAGUCCCGAGCAGGUUAUUAUAUUUUGAUUAACCAAAAAUCAAUACUAAAACCGAAAGGUGAAAUUUGAUACGUUGAUUGUAUUUGGUUGUCUAAAAUUUUAUCUUUCAUCCAUAUUGUUGCUAUUAAAAUUAUCAACUAAUUACGCGCAAAGUACCUUAAAAUAUUGUAUAUAAUUUGAUAUUAUACAUCCACGUUUCAACCGAAAGAAUUCUCUAGUCUACUAAUGAUUGCACUUCAGGUGGAAAAUCCUCCAUUUCGCACACUGUAAAAUAAAAACCGAAAGGUAGUCUUAUUAUUUUGAGGUAAUAAAAACCGAAAGGUGAUAAAAACCGAAAGGUAAUCUUAUUGCUUUAAGGUUAUAGACACUGAGAACAAUAAUUAAUAAUUCGUAACCAAAAUAUGGCAUUUAAAGCAUUUAUAUUAAAUAACCGAAAGAUUAGCUCCGACAGGAUAGGACCGAAAGGUUUAUGAUAACAUCUAAUUAUAAUAAAAAAACAAAGUUAAUUAUGCUACCGUGAGGACGAAACCGAGAGGUUUUGUGAUAACAUUCAAUGAAAAGCCGAAAAUAAGAGGCAUAACGUAAUAUCUAAUAAAUAACAAACAAAAUAACUCAACUUAAAAAGAAAGCAAUAAACUUUAUACGUGCUAAAGUUCCAAAAAGGGAUUACAUUAAGAAUGUAAAUAUCCAUACAUGGAUCAGACGUCAUAGCAUUCCAAAACAAAUUCGCUUCUCGUUAACUAAAAUCAAAAGUUACAAACAAAAAAUGAGAGCACAUAUCCAUCUAGCUCUCGGCAUCAACAUCUUCGGUAUCAUCUUCAGGAAUUUCGUUAACAGGCAUUAACUCACCAUUAUAAAAAUCUUUCUCAACAUCAAAAUUGCCUUCAUCAAUAGGAAUCUUAUAGAAAUACUUCGCUUGUUCCAAAGCUUUCGCAAAACCUAACUUAUGUUGUUCCAAAAUGAAGUUUUGGGCUUCAAAAACAUCCACCUUCAAUUGCUCAAUCUUCUCCUCCAUAGCUUUGAUAGUGUUGGUAUUAGACUCCUUCACGGAAGAUAAUUCCAAAACUCUUCCAUCAAGCAAUUGAUUCUCAUUACGAAGUUGAGUGAUCUCCUCACCAGCCUUCAAAUUCGCGGCUUUUAAAUCAGAAAUUUGCUUUUCAAGACUUUCUGUUUCAACCUCUUGUUGCUUCUUCUACAAACUCAACUCUUGUAAUUGCGAAGACAAAGCGGCAUUCUUAUCCUUACUCUCAGCAAGCUCACUCUUUAACUUUUCAAACUCGGCAUGUGAGCAACUACCAUUCUUUGCUUUCACCAUCUUUCCAAUCAAAAGAGUUCUACUCGAAAGUUCGAUGAUAGAAUCAGCCAAAGAAGCAGCACUCUCAUCUUUCAACAUAUUAUAAGACGACUCAGUAAAGGAAGUUUGGACAAACUUAGCAUAUUUGGUAGAAGCACCAAAAAUAGAUUCAGGAAGAGGUUCUGUUGAGCCACCUUCACAAUGAUGAUGGCGCCGAGAAGAGGAAUGUGAUAUUUUGCUACUUUUAGCACGUUUCUUGGACUUUCUUGAAGGUCCAACAUCAUGAUCAUCCUUCGCAGGUUCAGCAACUUCAAUACGAGAAAGAGGUUCCACAGUUCCUACCUCCACUACCGGGUUGACCACAUUUUUUCGCCGAGGAGUAACAUCACCAGCUCUGUUAAGAAGUUUUGUAAAGUAUGAACGACCUUUCAGAUUUGUGGCCGCCAUUAAUGCUGAAAAUCAAUAAAAAAUUUAGCAAAGUUAAAAAUCUCAUGCUAUAAAACAAGAAAAAACCGAAACAAUUACAUACCAAUGAGAUCUUCUUGUGGACUUUUUGAAGUAUACAAUUGUAGUAAAGCGCGAGUGGGAAUUCGAUACGAGAUGUGACCAAAAACUUCAAUAACAUGACGAUCAGCAGCAGUCAUUGAGUGGCAAGACCACAAAUUGAACUUUAAUGGAUCUUGCGUCCAAUACAAAGGAAAUUUCGGAAUGUCUCCAUCAAAAAAAAUAUUCUCUUCCCUCAGGCUCUAUUAAGAUCUUGAAAAAAAUCCCCUUAAAAUCCUUAUACGACGACGUAAAGGGCUUAAGAAAACAAAUAUCCGGCUUACUAAUCAGAGACAACCAACUUGGUCGUUUACCUGGUCGAGAACUAUAAUAAUACAAAAAAGAUUUCGGGCUGGGAGAAAGUGACAAUAAUUUACACAAAAUGCUAAAAGCUUGCAUUGAUGCCCAACCAUUAGGAUGAAGCUGGGUAGGAGCAAUAUUAAGAAUAUUAAGAAUGUCCAUUUGAAAAUCAUUCAAAGGCAACCGAAUAUGAAGGUCCCUAAAGAAACAAGCAUAAAAAUAAAAGAAUUCAAUACUAUCACCCUCUCGGCCAUGACAGACAUUAUCAACAUCACCCACACGCCGAAAAGAAAUUAUAUCAUUCUCAACAUCAGAAUAAUAAAUCUGCGAAUUAGAAACAAAAUCACGAAGCUCAUUAGCAGAGCGAUACCGAGAGAAGAAGUCUCGGACCUUAGAAUUAACCCAAUUGUAACAUGGACGAAGUUUCUUCUUUGGAGAAAUCACUUUAACUCUUUCGGCAACAACCACAGUAGUAGCUUCAUUUGAAUCUUUCUUACAAGAAAGAGUAGCAGAAGAAGAUUUUGAUUCAAGAUCUUGUUCUCCUCGUACCACUCGACCGGUGGAUUCACCACUCGCGCUUGAAAAACCACUUAGACCAUCGGAACUAGAAGAAAAUUUCAAGAUAGACAUUGUUACCUUUAAAGGAAGAAGAAAGCUUCAAACGUCGUAGCUCUCCACAAGCAAUAAAACCCGUAUGAAAUGAUAAACAAUUUGAAUGGGGUGCCUAUUUAUAAACAAAACAAACCCUAGAUACUGAAAAGUCACAAGCCCUUCCAAACUGUUCAAAAAAAUAUUCAUCUAAGGGUUCAAAUAAUACCUAUGUCAAAUCAUUCAGUAAACACGGUAAACGAGGCAUUUAAAACACAUCAAAUCAUAUCUUGAAAUUCUCACAUUAUAUCAUACAUAAACAAUUUUUUAUUAUUUUUAAACAAAAAACUUUAGGCCAAAUUCUUUAUGCCUAGGGGGCCAGUGUACUGAUAGGUCAAAACCAAGAGGUUAAGCCAAAAGCUAAUACCGAAAUAACCUCUCGGUUAUAACAAUAAAUAUNNNNNNNNNNNNNNNNNNNNNNNNNNNNNNNNNNNNNNNNNNNNNNNNNNNNNNNNNNNNNNNNNNNNNNNNNNNNNNNNNNNNNNNNNNNNNNNNNNNNUAAAUAAGUAAGUAGUAGUGUGUGUGUGUGUGUGUGUGUGUGUGUGUGUGUGUGUGUGUGUGUGUGUGUGUGUGUGUGUGUGUGUGUGUGUGUGUGUGUGUGUGUGUGUGUGUGUGUGUGUGUGUGUGUGUGUGUGUGUGUGUGUGUGUGUGCACCCAUUGUGAGGAGAAGCCCAGAGAAUCCAACCCAAAGUUCAGAAGAUUUGUAUGAGUUAAUCUUGUCAACCUAAUUCUAGUGUUCUUGGUCCUUGUAAGAACACAUACUAUUCUUACUUAUUCCUUGUAAAUUAAAUCUUUUAGAUAUCUUCUUUUAAUGCUUCCUCUUAAUCCCCCUUAUAUUUAUACUAAUUAUUUUUAUCAUCAGUUUCUCUUCUCCUUCCUUUUGAAACUCGUCUUACUUAUGUGUCGAUCUUCCUAAAACUGUAAACUACCUAAAACCACAUCUUCCUCACCAUUAAACAAAAAGCCCAACUCCUUACAAACAUUCCAAGCUUCGAUUUUAUCGUUUUUCAACCAAAACAGUAUAUUACAAUUUCUAACAACACUAUCAGAAAUAAAAGUACUAAAAUUUUGUGACCUCAACUCCAAUGAAGAAGCAAACUGAACUGCUCUCUCGACUAACAAGUCUCUUCUACCUUUGCUGGACAUCUUCCCAGAAGCUAACAACAUCAGGCAACUCACAGGAUUAACCUCCAACUCAACCAAAUUCCUUAGCAAUGGCUCCUAAGGAAGAAACCACUACAGAAAGAAAGUCUCUCUCCACUAUUUUCCUUUGUUGGAAAUCCGACUCCAUAAAGACUCUCGCUCCCUAAACCCUAAGUGAGUGUAUGGUAUUAUGAACAAUAACUAACAAAAGAACUAUAUUAGUCUAACAAUGCAAACUCAACAAGUGUGUAUGAGUGAACCUACUAUUUGGUUCUUCACUACUAUUUAAUGUCUAACAAAAUAAAGUAAAUAUCAACAAAAUUUCAAUGAGUCAAAUGGUGUAUAAAGAAGUUAAUGUAAAUAAAGUUUUACAUAAAAUAUUGAUCACCACCAAUUAUAAUUCCAAAAACAUAUAUUCUUCUUUUAAAAUGAAAAAAUAAAGAAAGACGGGAUGUCGAAGUAGUCUACCUCACUCCGCUUGUGAUUUGCUGAGUUGAUGUGUUAGACAAACCAAACCAAUAAAAACGAGUAUAAAAAAUUGACUUAUCCCGCCUAAUUGAUGACGAGUUGACGGGACAGUUCGCCGAAUCCGAACCACUAUAUCAUCCUAGUUAUUUUUAUUUUCAUGGUUGCAAUCUCUGCAUCCAAAUACAUAGGGUAUGGCAACAUCCUCCAUGCCUUUCCUGAUUUGGCAAGCAUGAUAAGCAACCUUUUUUGCAGCUAUUCAAGGGUUAAUCAUGAAUGCUGUUGCAAGCAUGGUUCCCCAAAGAGAACAUACAUUAGCAAUGUGAUAAUGAGAAUAUAAUAGGUGUGAAAGCUGUCAUGCAGAAGAUAUGCAGCUCUCUGUGAAAGCAGAGAGUCACGUUCCAUUUCACCAUAUUCAAUUCCUUCACCACGUUCCAAUAUAUUAAAAUUUAAAGCAGUCCAAUUUUUGCUGACACUCUUAACCUUUACACAAUUAAAAUAUUAUUUUAAUUGAAUCAAAUAGGUAAAAAUGGUAACUGUUGGGAAUCUAAUCCACCAAACCAUGGUAAAACUGCUUCAUCUUCAUGUUUUCGCCCAUAAAUACACAUACAUUGCAUCCAACUCAAACCAUAGUCAAACCACCCAUUAGCAGCGUUUGGAUAUUUUUCUACCAAUUUGUGCUUAUUAUUAUUAUUAUUGAGAGAAAAAAUGGGCAAGUUAAUCCAAUUCUUUGAGUUGAACACAGGGGCCAAAAUCCCUUCUAUUGGGUUAGGCACAUGGCAAGCUGAACCAGGAGUUGUGGUAAAAGCUAUCACCACGGCCAUUCAGGCAAGUCAAACUUCAUUUCGAUUAAUUUUUUCCCUUUUUCAAUAAUGGAUAAAAAGAUAAAUUUGUUAAUGGUUAAAUUUUUUAUUACUAGAGAAAUCAUAUUUAGAUUUAUCUGUUUUGGCAAACAUUUUUGUUGUUUCGAUUUGUCCUAUGUAGGAGUGAUAAUGAUUUUGAUGUCGGGUCACUGUUGUUCAGGUUGGAUACAGGCACAUUGACUGUGCUCAAUUUUAUGACAAUCAAGCAGAGGUAAUAGUAAUUCAAAGUGAUAACUUUUAAAGUCCAGGGUCCAUUUUUUUCUCAUCUUUUCAAUUUUUUAUUUUGUAAUAUUGCUUUUGCUCUCUUGUAAUAUGUGAACUGUGAAAAUUUGUUAAUUGUGAGAUGUUUCAGGUUAUGCUAUUAAUGUUAUGUAGUUUUGUUUAAUAAAAUUAGAAAAGUAGUGAGAAGUCAGUCAAUUUUGGAAGCUAAUUUUCAUUUUAUUUUGAAUCAUGGUUUUCACAGAUUGGUUCUGCGCUUAAGAAGGUUUUUGAUGAUGGUGUGGUGAAGCGUGAAGACUUAUGGAUAACUUCCAAACUCUGGUUUGCUGUCUUUUGAAAAUUGUGUUUUAUGUUUGAACAUUCGAAAAGAUUGUGUUUGGUUGCUGAAUGGAGAUCCUUUGCUCUGUUGGCUAUAUUUUCAGGUGUACUGAUCAUGCUCCAGAAGAUGUGCCAAAAGCAUUGGAUAAAACAUUACAGGACUUGCAACUUGACUACCUUGAUCUCUAUCUGGUAAGCAUGCAUUAUGUUUACUGAUAAGUGACUCAUAUAAUGGGACUCAUGAUUUCAAUCAAUAGGAUAUUGUCUCUUUGAAAAAGAGGGUCUUAAGAGUAUAUCGUUAGCAUUAUUUUACAAAUAAAUAAGACUUUCUCAAGUGAACAAAGUUCAAUUGUUUCAUUCAUGUAAUGUUGCUAACUUUGGCUAUCUGGGGUUCAUUCCUUUUCAUUCACUGUUCUUUUGAGUCUCUUCCUUCAUACAAACUAAAUUGAUUUAUGCUGUAGAUCCACUGGCCAGUCCGCAUGAAAAGUGGAUCAGUUGAAUUCAAGAAUGAAAAUCUGAUUCAACCAGACAUUCCCAGCACAUGGAGAGCAAUGGAGGCACUUUAUGACUCUGGCAAGGCUAGAGCCAUUGGAGUGAGGAAUUUCUCUUCAAAGAAGCUUCAAGAUUUGUUGGAUAUAGCAAGAGUACCUCCUGCUGUUAACCAAGUGGAAUUGCACCCAGGAUGGCAACAACCAAAGUUGCAUGCAUUUUGUGAAUCUAAAGGAAUACAUAUAUCUGUAAGUAUGGAAUGUAUGAUACACACUUGUUGGUACUUUCACAAAAAUACGAGCCUGUUAUUCCUGUAAGUUAUUAGUUGCAAAGAAAAUGAUCACUUUUGGUGAAAUUGUCUACAGGGCUAGUUGAAAAUGAAUUUGGUUUGUACUCAAAUUAAAUUGAUGGUUUCUCAACAACCAUUCUUUAUUAUUCUGAUAUUUUCAUUCUAAUUGUAUAUAUGAUGAAUUUCUUUCCAGGGCUACUCUCCACUAGGCUCACCAGAGUAUCUGAAAAGUGACAUUCUUAAGAAUCCUGUUGUGGUAGAGAUUGCAGAGAAAUUGGGGAAGACACCAGCUCAAGUGGCCCUCAGGUGGGGAUUGCAAUCAGGUCAUAGUGUGCUGCCAAAAAGUACUAAUGAGUCCAGGAUCAUGGGAAACUUUGAUGUCUUUGACUGGUCUAUUCAAGAAGAACUAAUGGCCAAGUUCUCUGAAAUCAAGCAGGCAAGUAGUUAGUUAAUUAGGGUGUGUUUAAUUUCUUUUUCAAAAGCUUUUUCUAGUUUAAAAGAUUCAAUUAAACCUUACCUAAGGCUUAAAACAAGAAGAGAAACAUUCUGUUCUUUUAGACUUUAAAAUACUUAUUUUGAAAUAAUUUUCAAAACUUCAUACAUUUUGGAUCAUAAAUUUUCAAAACUUAAAAGAUUAUGGAUGACUAAUGAAUUGGUGAGUGAGUCCUGUGAAAUUAUUAUGUAAAACAAUUUUUAAAAGAAAAAAAAGGUGCGAGAAGGGAAUUAAACAUGCCCUUGGUAGAAUCUAGUUUUCUGUUCUUUCUGGUAUGUGGUUGCUUACCAUCUUUAAUUACCUUGAAUUAUGCUUGUGUGCCAUAGCAUUAUAAUCCCAUCAAUGGCCUUAAAGCUUGAUUUUUUUUGAAUUAAAAGAAGGAAUUUGGUGAUGCAGGAAAGGCUACUUAAGGCCACAUUUUUUACCGACGAGACCUAUGGUGCCUAUAAGACCAUUGAAGAACUCUGGGAUGGUGAACUCUGACAAAUGUCCAUCAUUGAGACGUUGAAAUUUACAUUGUUCCUCAAGAAGACUGGUUCUUACUUUUUACCUGUUUUAACAGUGUUAUUAUUGUUAAAGAACACAAAAUAAGUAACCAAGUCUUAUUUUUCAUUUAUGAUUAUUUUUCUACUCGAUAUAAUAAAAAUGAGGGUUGAGAAUUUGACUAAUCUAAAAGGAGUUAAUUAGUAACUAAUUAGACAUUAAUUUAGAAACUAGUUUAUAAAUUUUAUUAAUAACAAAAAUAUUUUAGAUAUUAAUAAUUUUUUUAUUCUCUAAAACUGUAUCUAAUUUAGUUGAUAUAAUUGUACUUGUAUAGACGAAAUGGGCCUAGAUAGUACCUGUGAUUGAGUGUAACAACUGUUGUGAUGUCAGUCGCUUAGUAAUCCUCUUAUUCCUCAGUACUUCAUUCCUUCAAACGUCAAGACUCUUUCUUCGUAAUCCCCUCAGUGCUUGUUCGGGAGUUAACCUGCAAAAGGUACUCUGACGAUCAAAUAAGUAAUAUGUAUUAAGAGUGUAUAAUGAAAAUGAUAAAAAACAUACCUUACUCCACUCUGGAGAACAUAUUUAUAAAAUUGAGUUAUGUGGCCAUAUGUUUGAUGAGUCAAAUCUAGUAUGUAUCAGUAUUAGCUGAUUUCUAGGGAAGUUAACCUGAUUUCUCAGGACAUUACCCGAAUUUGAUGGGAUGUGACCAUGAUUCAUAGGGAGUUCCCACAAUUGCCUUAAUUGUCAUUUAUUACAACGCAGGAAGUCACAUAACCCUAGAAAAUUAGGUUAAAUAGGAGGCUAGAUGCACAAUCCUAGGAUGCUAGAUUGAGAGGAAAAAAUCAUAGAGUGAAUUGUAACCCAAUUGGGAAUAGAAGGUUCUAGAAGUAUGCGUGACUAAUUCUACCCUUUGGGAUUAAGAGUAAUCUGCUCAAACUCUUAUGUACUGAGGUGAUAUCUUAUAUAUUAAUAUUUAGUUCUUGAUUGAUUAUUGGUAUUGUUGUUUUACUUUUAACUUUCUGUGACAAAUUGAAAAUCUUAAAUCUGACAGGGAGGUGUUUUUAGGGUUCAGACCUAAAUAACAAUACUUACCAUAUUUGAGUGUUAGGAAUACACUUGAAAUGUUAAUUGACAUUAAUGUCUGAGUGUGAUUCUAAGUUGUUUUUAUAAAUAUGUGAGGGAUAGAUAUUUACGAAACAUUCUUAAGGAUUUUUAUAUGCGAGGAAUCGAUAUAAAUGAAUUUUCUACGGGCAUCAAUUUCAAUAAAAAAACUUAAUAUUAACAUGCUAAUCAAAAUACAUGAGAGUGAGAGAGAUGAAACCUAAUCCCUAUUUUUCCAAUUGAAGCAAUUAAUUCUUUGUUUGUUUUCUUAUUAAUCAUUGCCAACAUGAUUACGUGAACACUUUUUUUAAUUGUUUUUGUUUUAUAUUUAGUGAUCAUUGUAGUUAGUAAUUCACUAUUUCCUGCGGGAUCGAUAUUCGUCCUUACGGACAAUUAUUACUUAUGACAAAGCAGUGCACUUGUCGGAAAAAGUCAUCACCCCCUGUAGGCAUCCCCAAGUAUUUGGAAGGAGUUUUCAUAACAUCACAAUUAAGAAUAGCUGCAAAACAAUAAAUCAUAAAUUGAUCAACCCCCACCCCUCAAAUACUACUCUUCAAGACGUAGCUCAAAAAAAUUGAAAAUAGCCUUUAUGUUGAACAUGCUUUUGGUAGUCACUUUGCAAAAAAAACAAAGUAUCAUCAACAUAUUGAAGCAUAUUAACCUUAACCUUCUUAUCCCCAAUCUCCAAACUUUCCAUCAAAUCUUUCUCAACCACUUUCCUUAACACUCCUGCUAAGCUUUUAGCCGUUAUAAGAAACAAAAUUGGAGCUAAGGGAUCUCCUUGUCUCAAAUCCUUUAACAGAAAAAAUUCCUUAGCCAAGCUACCAUUUACGAGAACAGACACAGAAGCAUACUCUAAACAAGAUUUAAUCCAAACAAUCCAUUUUUAACAUAAGCCUAAUCUUCCUAACAUAUAAUAGAUAAACUCCCACCUCACAUAAUCGUAAGCCUUCUCAUAAUCCACCUUGAAAAAGACACAACUUUUCUUCUUUCUUUUUGCCUCCUCUGACACCUCAUUGGCCACAGGAACACUAUCCAAUAGUCCCCUUCCUUUGAGAAUAGUUGAUUGCCUUGAAUCAAUGACUUUAAUAAUCACCAUUUUUAGCCUUAAAGAUAGUAACUUCAAAAUAAUUUUGUACUAGCACUCGACCAAAGUAAUGGAUCUAAAAUCACGAAGUUGUUGUGGAUUCUCUGACUUAGGGACCAAGCAAACAAACGAAACAUUCGACCAUCUAAGCCAUUUAUCAGAAAUUGCGAAAUCAUUCACUAUCAUAAGGAUAUCCCCUUAAAAAAACCCACAAAACUUAAUGAAACUAAAAUUAAACCCAUCCGAACCAGGACUUUUCGAACUAUCACAACUCCAAAUAGCAAACUUGACUUCCUCUUCAAAAAAAGAACUAACCAACAUCUCGUUGCCAACAUCAUAAUAGAAUUAAAGGACACACUAUCCAACCUGACCUGAGGCCCAACAACUCCUUCAAAUCUAAUCUUAAAGAAAUCUCUAACCUUGUCCUUAACCACCUCCUUGUCUUCACAUCAGAGACCAUUAACAAACAAAUCAUUAAACCCCUUCCUCACCCUCCUCCAUUUUACAUCCAAAUGGAAAAACUUUGAAUUAAGGUCACCAUGUUUCAGCCACUUAAGGCGGGCUUUCUGAUGAAUAAUAACUUCUUGUUUAAAUAAAUUUCUGUGUUUUUUCUUUUUUGCUAACAAGGUCCUCAUCUCCUCUCUUCCUUCCUCGUCUAAGACGCCUUCAUCAUCACGUGCAUCCAACUCUUGGAUUUUCUUUUGUAGAACUUCCCCUAUCUGAAUAACAUUGCUAAACACAUCUCUAUUCCAGAUUUUUAAAUUUGAUUUUAACUUUUUAAUUUUUCUUUUAGAACAAACAUCCCUAUGCCAUGUACCUCACAACUAAACUAUUUACAACGUACACAAUCUUUGAAUCUGCUGUCACUUUUCCAAAUAUCGAGACUUUGAAAUGGUUUCGGCUCCCAAUCCAAACUAGUAUCUUUUAACACUAAAGCACAAUGAUCAAAGACAGAUAUACUUAUUACAAACUAUUUACUACUCGACCACUCUUCCAACCAUUCCUUGAAAUCCAAAACUUUGUCAAUUCUACUUUUAACAGACCCAUUCGAUUUGUACCAAGUAAAUUUCCGACCAACCAUCGCAAUAUCCACCAAGUCAUCUUUUUUCUAUAAAAUUAUUAAAGCCACUUAUUUUACCCUAUAAUCAGACACAUAAAUCAAAUUUUUUCUCUCCUCCUUCCUUCUAAUAGAAUUGAAAUCCCAUACAACGCAUCAGUCCCUGUUUAAUUGGCUCAACCUGAAUACACUGGUCUCAUCCCAAAUCAUCUUUUUUUCCCUCAACGAACCAGUAAACAUUCACAGUAGUAACUUGUAUCCCGUCACCAAACAUCCACUCCCUUUCAAUAAUAGAAUUUUUUUUUCCAUUAAAAGACCUUGAUAACUAAAAGCAGUUCCUUCUCCACAUUGUAAUAAUCUCUCUUGCAUUAUUGCUAGUACCAUUUUCAACCUAAUCAAUUUCAUUAGAAUCCCACAAAUUAAAACAAUUCUCUUUGUCAAACUCUGAACACUUAGUCUCUUGAAUACAUACAAUUCUUACUUGUUCCUUGUAAAUUAAAUCUUUUAGAAAUCUUCUUUUAAUGUUUCCUCCUAACCCCCUAAUAUUCAAACUAAUUAUUUUCAUCAUUAGAAACAAUGUUCUCAUUCCUUUUGAAACUCGUCUUACUUUUGUCUCGAUCUUCCAAAGACAAUAAACUACUUAAAACCACAUCUUCCUCACCAUUAAGCAAAAAGCCCAGCUCUUUACAAAUAUUUCAAAAUUUUAAACACUACAAGAAAAACAUGAAAUAGAAACCAAAUUUAGAGACCAAAAACAAUAAGUUGCUAUAGUAACUAAAUUAGAGAUCAUUUUAGAAACUAAAAAAAAAAUGGUUUCUAAAGUAGUUUCUAUUACAAUUUCUAACAAUACUAUAAUACUAUAAUAUAAAGUAAUAAAAUUUCCUAACCUCUCGACUGACAACUCUCUCUAAGAAAAAAAAAAUGUUGUAUAAAGAUAAACAAAUUUUAUCAUGUCAAUAUAAAAAACAAUUAAUUAUCCAAAAAUUUGGUAGAAUAAACUUUUUUUUCUUACAUUCAUUUGAUUUACUUUUUAAAAAGAUGGCAAUUUUCAUGAGUUAAGGUUUCUGGGAAUGGUUUUAGCCAAAUUUUCAAAAAAACAUUUUGUGAGAGAUAUGCGUAACGAAUUUAUUUUUAGAAGUAAAUAAAAUUUACUAAAAGUAAAACCGUAUUAUUUUUAUUAAAUCGUUUAUAAUAUGGUAAAAUUUACAUGCGUCAUUUCACCGUCCUUUUAUUUGUUUAGGGUGACCUCAUCAUUUGUGCCAAUAUAGUAAUUGCUUCAAAAUAUUAAAAUUUAACGCAUUUCAAUUUUUGCGGUCACUCUUAUCCUUUAGGUAAUUAAACAUUUAUUUUUAAUUGAGACAAAUAUUUUUUUUCUGACAAUCAUCGAUACUUAAUGAAUAUUUAAGAAUGGUUUGAAUUAAGUGUGUGUCGGAAUAGGUAUAACUGGUCACUGUUGGGAAUCUAAUCCACCCUUAAAUGAUUCAUGUUCAUGUUUUCGCCCAUAAAUUGCAUCGAACUCAAACCACCCAUUAGCAGUGUUUGGAUAUUAUUCUACCAAUUUGUGCUUAUUAUUAUUAUUAUUGAGAGAAAAAAUGGGCAAGUUAAUCCAAUUCUUUGAGUUGAACACAGGGGCCAAAAUCCCUUCUAUUGGGUUAGGCACAGCGAAAGCUGAACCAGGAGUUGUACCAAAAGCUGUCACCACAGCCAUUCAGGUAACUAAAACUUUAUUUCAAUUAAUUUUUUCCCCUUUUUCUAUCGAAACAUUUUUGUUGUUUCGAUUUGUCCUAUGUAGGAGUGAUAAUGAUUUUGAUGUCGGGUCACUGUUGUUCAGGUUGGAUACAGGCACAUUGACUGUGCUCAAUUUUAUGACAAUCAAGCAGAGGUAAUAAUGAUUCAAGUUGAUAACUUUUGUAGUCCAGGGUCCAUUUUUUUCUCAUCUUUUCAAUUUUUUAUUUUGUAAUAUUGCCUUUGCUCUCUUGUAAUAUGUGAACUGUGGAAAAUUUUUAAUUGUGGGAUGUUUCAGGUUGUGCUAUUAUUGUUAUGUAGUUUUGUUUUAACAAAAAUAGAAAAGUAGUGAGAACUCAGUCAAUUUUGGAAGCUAAUUUUCAUUUUAUUUUGAAUCAUGGUUUUCCCAGAUUGGUUCUGCACUUAAGAAAGUUUUUGAUGAUGGCGUGGUGAAGCGUGAGGACUUAUGGAUAACUUCCAAACUCUGGUUUGCUGUCUUUUGAAAAUUGUGUUCUAUGUUUGAACGUUGGAAAAGGUUGUGUGUUUGGUUGCUGAAUGGAGAUCCUUUGCUCUGUUGGCUAUAUUUUCAGGUGUACUGAUCAUGCUCCAGAAGAUGUGCCAAAAGCAUUGGAUAAAACAUUACAGGACUUGCAACUUGACUACCUUGAUCUCUAUCUGGUAAGCAUGCAUUAUGUUUACUGAUAAUGGGACUCAAGAUUUCAAUCAAUAGGAUCUUUUUGAAAAAGAGGGUCUAAGAGUAUAUUGUUAACAUUGUUUUACAAAUAAGGCUUUCACAAGUGAACAAUGUUCAAUGGUUUCAUUCAUGUAAUUCUACUAACUUUGGUUAUCUGGGGUUCAUUCAGUAUUAUUUUGAGUCUCUUCCUUCAUACAAACUAAAUUGAUUUAUGGUGUAGAUCCACUGGCCAGUCCGCAUGAAAAGUGGAUCAGUUGGAUUCAAGAAUGAAAAUCUGAUUCAACCAGACAUUCCCAGCACAUGGAGAGCAAUGGAAGCACUCUAUGACUCUGGCAAGGCUAGAGCCAUAGGAGUGAGCAAUUUCUCUUCAAAGAAGCUUCAAGAUUUGUUGGAUAUAGCAAGAGUGCCUCCUGCUGUUAACCAAGUGGAAUUGCACCCAGGAUGGCAACAACCAAAGUUGCAUGCAUUUUGUGAAUCUAAAGGAAUACAUAUAUCUGUAAGUAUGGAACGUAUGAUACAUACUUGUUGGUACUUUCACAUAAAUAAAAGCCUGUUAUAUCACUUUUGGUGAAAUUGUCUACAGGGCUAGUUGAAACUGAAUUUGGUUUAUACUCAAAUUAAAUUGAUGGUUUCUCAACAACCAUUCUUUAUUCUUCUGGUAUUUGCAUUCUAACUGUAUAUAUAACGAAAUUCUUUUCAGGACUACUCUCCACUAGGUUCACCAGAGUUUCUGAAAAGUGACAUUCUUAAGAAUCCUGUUGUGGUAGAGAUUGCAGAGAAAUUGGGGAAGACACCAGCUCAAGUGGCCCUUAGGUGGGGAUUGCAAUCAGGUCAUAGUGUGCUGCCAAAGAGUAUCAAUGAGUCAAGGAUCAAGGAAAACUUUGAUGCCUUUGACUGGUCUAUUCCAGAAGAACUAAUGGCCAAGUUCUCUGAAAUCAAGCAGGCAAGUAGUUAGAUAGUUAGGGUGUGUUUGAUUUCUUUUUCAAAAGCUUUUUCUAGUUUAAGAGAUUCAAAUAAACCUUACCUAAGGUGUGUUUAAUUUCUUUUUCAAAAACUGUUUUUAGUUAAACAUGGCCUUGGUAGAAUCUAGUUUUUGUGUUCUUUCUGGUAUGUGGUUCCUUACCAUCUUUAAUUACCUUGAAUUAUGCUUGUGUGCCAUAGCAUUAUAAUUCCAUCAAUGGCCUUAAAGCUUGUUUUUUUUUGAAUUAACAGAAGGAAUUUGGUGAUGCAGGAAAGGCUACUUAAGGCCACAUUUUUUACAGACGAGACCUAUGGUGCCUAUAAGACCAUUGAAGAACUCUGGGAUGGUGAACUCUGACAAAUGUAUAGAAGUUGAUAUUUACACUGUUCCUUUCUUGCUUUUUACCUGUUUUAGAAGUAUUAUUAUUCUUAAAGAACACAAAAUAAGUAACCAAGUCUUAUUUUUCAUUUAUGAUUAUUUUUCUACUCGAUAUAAUAAAAAUGAGGACUGUGAAUUUGACUUAGAAUAUAAAACCAGUUAAAAGUUAAAAAUUAGAUAUUAAUAAUUUUUUUAUUCUUUAAAAUCCUAUCUAAUUUAAUCAAUAUAAUAAUUAUUUUUUUUAAAAAAUAAUUUUUAUUCAAUUAUUUUUUUUAGUAAUUUUUAUAUUCAAUUUAAAAAGUAAUAUAUUAUUAAUAUUUAAAAAAAUAGAAAAAUAUUUAAACUUGUAUUUAAUUAAUAUAAAAAAAUUAAUCAAAUUUAAAAAUUAAAAAUUAAAAAUUAUUAAUAUUUAUAUUUAUAUUUAAUUAAUGUUUUUUUUUUUAUCAAAAUAGGAUAGAUUAAAAGAAUAUUCAUUUACAUAGAAAGAAUUUGGUCUUACAUAUAUAUAUAUAUACGUGUGUGCGCGCGCGUAAAUUAUGUUUAUAAAAAAAAGCGUAUAUUUUGUUUCUUAGUUAUGUAAUAUGCACACCUCAAAUUGUAAAAAUAAUAUAACUAGUUAAGAUGCAAGUCUAUUUAAAAAAAAUUCAAUGCGGAGCAGGUUACAUGGUUGGUCUGUGCACGGAGUCACUAAUCUAACCUAUUGACCUGUUUAGACUUGUCCUGUGUAAUCUGCAGUUUUCGCAGAGGAGGUAAGUUUGUUAGUUGAUCCAUAUAAAUAAAUAAUUAAUUAUUUUAUUUUAUUAUGUAAAAAAUCAUAUUUCAUCAAUCUAUUAUUGCAGUGUGAUUUUUAUUUUAUUUUAUUUUUAAAAUAUUAAAUUUAAUGUACUAAAAAUAUUUUAAUUUAAUCAUCUAAAUAAUUAAUAUUAAGAAUAACAGUGAAUUUAGUUUUAAGUAAAGUCUUAUAUUUAAAAUUUGUUAAUAAAAAAUAAUAUAGAAAAGAUAUUUUGAUAAAAUAUUCAUUAAAAAAUUAGUCAUCUUCAUUAAAAUAUUUUGUAGUAAAACCUUAAUAAGAUACUCUGAUACAUUUACAUAGGAAAAUAGAUACAAAACCAAAAUUUAAUUAUUUUUAAUCAAGUCUUCUUACAACCCUCAUUUGAAUUCAUAUUUUUUUAUCUUAAUUGAAAAAAAAAAUUCAAGAGUAAAAAUAAAUUUUUUUAUAAUUAAUAAAUUUUUUAAAAAUAUUUUCCUUAUACAAACUAACUCCAAACCUAUCCGCAAACCUACGCGAGAAUGAAAUAAACUCACACAAAUAAAAAAUGUUUAAACUUAGAUGAUGCGUGUUUAUCAUGUUCACGUAUCUGUAAUGUGUCAAUUUCAUCUAUCAGUAUCUUUUAACGUCAAUGAAAAUCUUUGGUUAUUAAUCAAAAGUCGUAUUAAAUCAAUAGGAAAAGAUAUAGUAUCAUUCUUCACUGCAUCAAUCAUUGUCGCCACAGUUGUAUUAUAAACCGUAGUUUUGUUUUUAACUGCACUUUUUCAGAGGAAGAAAAGAAAGAAUUCUAAAAGUUUGUUCCAAAUUCUUAAAAGCUUUUUCCAAUUAUUAAAAUCUUGUUGCUAUAAUUAUUUUAUUGGUUCUUAUAUUUAGAGUUAAUAUUUAAUUUAGAACUAUGAUUUUUUUAAAAAUCAGUUAGAUUCAUGUGUUUUUUUAAAAAAUACUCAAAUUAAUCUUUUAUGUUAACUUUGUCUCAACAACGUCAAGUGUUAUUGAUAUGACAGAUAAAAUUGUUGAUGUAGAAUGUAAAUUAAGAGACACCUGGAAUUGUAUGUUGUGUGAGGUGGCAAGUUGAGGAGUUUGGUAGAGAUUAAUAAAGUUCAACACAUAAAGAACCAAUUUGGAUACUUUUUAAAAAACACAAGGAUCAAAUUGAUUUUUUUUUAAAUCCUUAUAUUAAAUUGAAUAUUGACUCUAAAUACAAAGAUCAAUAAAGUAAUUAUAUCAAUCUCGUUUUGAAACUCAUUUCAUGUAUUUGUAUUUCAUAAAACUUUUUUGAAAAGAGUGAAAGGUAUAUUACAAACUUAUAUAAAUCACUUUUUAUAUAUUCUCUUACAUAUAAACUACCCUCAAAACUAUCAAAUCUUAAAAUAGUUUCUUAAAAAUAACUAAGAAGUGUUAUAUAUACAUUAAAUUAAGAUUAUACCUAUAUAUUAUACAUACUAAAAAUAAAAGUUAAAUAUCUCAUAAAUAAGUUAUUAUUAACAAUAAUAAUAUUUAAUUAUCUUCAAUUAUAUACCAACUAUGAUAUUUAUUGAAAUAUUUGAGUGAUUUUAAAAGUCUAAAUAAUAUAAUCAAAGAGAAAAAGUGAAUAAUUUGUUAAAAUAAUAUAUAAUAAAUAGAGAUUUCAAUGUAUAAAUUGUUAAUUUAUUAUAUAUUUAUUAUUUAAUAUAUUUCUCGUUUAAUUUGAGCAUCGAAAUGUAUUAGAUUUAAUUAUUAACAAAAAAAAAAGUACUAUUGACUUCAAAAGAAAUAUACAACUCGAAUAAGUAAGAAAAAAAAUAAGGAUAUUUUGGUUUUGUGAAGAUCCUUAUAUGAACAACUUGAUGAUAGUAUAGAUAAUGAGAAUCUAUUAGACAAAUAAAUAUUUGUAGAAUAUAGUUUAUUUUGCUUAUAAAUAUUAGAAAAUAGAUAUUUUAUUUUAUUUUUUUGUGUUAACUAGGUACAAAUAUUAAUUUUGUAUUUGGAUCUAUUAAGUGUGUGCAUUAAAAGACAAAGAAGUAAGGAGUUGUUCAAGCCUAAUCAAGCCAUCAUAAUUUUCGGUCAAAAGUCAUGACCAAAGACAAGUUAAGGAGAAGAAAGAUGCAAGAAAAUUAUGAACCAAAGCAUAACUAAUUUUUGGCCAAAUCUCCUAGGUUUUCAUCAUUACCCUUUGGUAUUUCAAAAUUAAAAAUUUCCUCCUUAAUACACUUUGAAUUUUUGGUCAUUAAAUUAGAUUAAAUUUGUAUGUAACAUUUGCAUUGAAUUUAACUUAGGUUAAUGUUUUCAAGAGGCUAUAAAUAAUCCUCUCAUUUCCUCGUAAACAAAUCUUGAAUAUAUUGAUUGGGAGGGAUUUUCUAAAGUAUUUUCUAGAGUUCUUUGAAGGGAGAAAUAUCUUCUUGUUUGAGUUUUAUCUUGGAUUUUUUGAUCAAGUGAUGAUUCCAUCAAUACUUAUCUUGGAACUUAUCCAAGUAGUGUGACGACCUCCAUUCUCUCAUAAGUUUAUCCCUUUUUAUUUUCUCUUUUCCUUCUAUGAAUUUUUGAAUUUAUAUUAUGUUCUCUUCUCUUAUUUCAUUCUUAUUAUGUAGUAGGUGUAUGCUCGUCUUUUCUUCUUAGAAGCAAAUUUUUACACUUAAAUAUGGACUAAACUCAUGUUCAUUGUCACACUUCUAAGAAUUCUUGUUCUAUAUUCUUUCUUGUGUUGUUUUUGUUGUUCUACUCCGUGUUCAUGUUUGUUUUUUCACUCUUAGAUACAAGUUUUCACACUUAUAGAUUAAACUUUUCUCUAGUUGUAAAACUUUUUUGAGUUUGUUUAUUUGUAUUUUAAAGUUCAAAAAAAUAUAAAGUAGAUCAAUUUCUUAUCCCAAAUCAAGCUAAUUCUAGUUAGAGUCUCAUCACAAUCGCAAGUUAAAUCCAUUCAUGAUUUGAGUCAUUAAAGUGUAAGGUUUUAUGCCUCAUGUGAGAGUAAUGUACUUAAUUCGGCUCAUAAUGAUAAUGGGUUCAAUGACGCGUAAGAAGUCGGCCCAAAACAGCUAGAAAAAUAUAUUUAAAAGGGAAACAAAAAAUAAAAAUAACUAGAUGAAUAAUUGAAUCAGUUAGGCAUAUGAUUUAUUUUGGAACCAACGAAAGUAAACCGUUAGAGAUAAUGCUCUACCCGCACCCCUAAAAUAAAGGGGAUACAUUAACAUAAUAUUUUUAUGUUUGUUAACUCUAGGGAGAUCUACGAGUACUAUAAAAGGGGCUCAAGACCCUGAACAGAGGUAAGUGCAAUUUGGUACACUACUCACUAUACUCAUAAUUAUAUGUUCUCACUGACUUGAUUGUCAGAGUCUUAUCAACAGGUGGAGUUUUCCUCAUUGUGGAUUUCAAGCAUCUCAAAGCAGCAACAACAGAAAACAAAAGUUAGCCCAUAAUCCACCACCAAGACUCGAUCCAGGUCAGCCGACAAGAAUAUUUGGCGCUCACCAUGGGGCCCGGUAAAAACUGAUCCCACUAACGCUCUAAACGCCGAUAUGUAAAGCACCGAGUAACCCGACGCAAUGAAGAACACUAGACAAGGAACGCAAGUUACUGAAGGGGACGAGGUUCCAGGUUUGCAACAAAUAAUGAAGACCAUGAGAGCUCUCCAGCAAGAAAAUGAAGAGUAUCGACAAGAGCAAGAACAGAUUCGGGAAUAAGCCCAAGCCGAGAAGGAACGACUACGAGAAGAAGCCCGAGCCGAUCAAGAUCGUCUUCGGGUAACGCGACUUAAUCAAGCACUCCUUAUGGAGGAAAUAGAGGCCUCCCAGAGAACCAUGGAAGAACACACCCAAGCUAAUGAGUAGUUAUGCAAAACCAAUGAGGAAUUGUGAAGAAACAUGCACAGACAUUGCCGACGCCACGUCCGAGCACGUUCCUCGGACAUAUCAUCGAGAGAUGAUCCCAAACCAUUCUCACAGCAAAUCAUGGAAGAACCCAUACCGCCCCACUCUAUCACGUCUAAGAUUACACCUUUUUCUGGCGUGGAAGAUCUUUGAGAGCCAUUUAAAAGCCUUUAGGGCUCAGAUGAUCAUCUCGGGUGGGUGAUAAGAAUCAAAAAGAUGUUAUCAAUAGAAGAAAUGGACAAGGGCCAAAGCAUUUAAAGUUCUUCUUAUUAGUCUUUGCAAAAGAUGAGGCCCAAGUCCAAGAAGCCCAAGUCCAAACCAUGAGGGGCAAGGCCAAGCAUUAAAUAAAAGAGCAUCAUUUGAAUGACUCUUGUAGGAGGUGUGGAUAUUAAAUAAAUAGGUGUGAAUGUAUUAGAGAGAGUCACAUUGUCCAUGUGACUUAGUAGGGGGUGUAGGUGUAGUUUUUAGGAGGUGUCAUAGUAGAAAAAGGUCACACCUCCCAUGUGACUUGUUUUUGGUGGGAAUUUCAAAUGAGUUUCAUUUGAAUUUUCCCACCUAUUUUUCAGCACCUCUUAGGCUAUAAAUAAGGUGCUUGCCUUUGUAAAAUUGAGAUUUGGAAUUUAGAAGUAGAGAGACUAUACUCAAAUUUAGAGAGAAAUUGUGAGCCUUGUGUCUUCUUCUUCCUUUGCCUUAUCUUAUGUGCCAAUGGUGAGCUUCAAGUGGCGGUAUUUCAUCACUUAUCUUGGGACAUGGCUCCAAGUGACGUGACUGAACUUCCAAGGUCUCAAAUCCAGCAAGCUUCAUUCCAUAAGUGUUCCUUCCUUCAUUCCUUUCAAUUCCUUUCGGUAGUUUCCAUGUUUAAGUGUUUUCCAUUCAUUUCCACCGAUUGAAAUGGGGUUUUCCAGCUUUGUUUUCAUUUUUUGUUCGGUGCAGUAGCUGUAUAUUUCAAUUCUGUCCAGCUUUCAAUUCUUGUUCUUCAUUCCUUGUUGUUUGAUUCCAUUUGACAAUAUAUGGACUUCCAUAUGAGCUUUGGUUUGGUGCAAAGUCUUGGUGAGUUCUUGAAUUAGAACAUUGAUCCAAUUCUAAGUAAAGUACCAUUUCAUGACCAACUCAAGUUGCUCCUAAGAAUGUCAAAGAAUCAUGUAUUCUUGUUGUUGCAUUCACAUCAGUGGGUCAGACGCCAUUCGAUGCAAGAUGCUCAUGAGCCUAUUUACAAGAACCGUUCUCCAAUGGUUCAGCGUGAUCCCUGUCGGCCAUAUCACUUCUUUCCCACAAUUCUCUAGGAUAUUUAAGGAACAGUUCUCCGCUAAUAAAUUUGACUCUCCGCGAUUGCCCGAUCUCUUCGAUAUCAAGCAAAGGGAGGGAGAGUUGCUCAAAGAUUACCUAAAUUUUUUCUGCACGGUGUCGGUAAGACUCCAAACUCCAAACGAGGAUAUGGUAAUCGUUGAUUCAAAAUAGGUCACACUCAUUAUUUGAGGUAAGGGAGCGAGCAACAAUCCAUAUUGAGAUAGAAGAGACCAUACUUAGGAAGAAUAGCAGUUCGCAGAUAAAACAACUGAGGUACAAAAAGAACGGAUGUGAACGUUUCUUGAAGGGCGACCAUCUAAAAACAUCAUGCCCAGUUAGUCAUGCAACGGACAAGACAAAGAAAUAAAUUUUUCUGUAAAAAUAUCCAAGAUACUCUUCAUUUCACUCGAGCCUAGGGGCAAGUAUACUGUUGGGAUGCCGAGUAACUGAGACCGAAUCUAUACCAGCAUCCCAGCACUUCAACAUGUUUCGCACACAACAAACGCACGAAAGGUCUAAAUCACAUAAUUGGAAAUUAAUACAUAAUAAAACAUCUGCAAAUCAGGAUUAAGAUACAAUUGGGCUAGUAGGUCUUAUUGAGCCUAAUUCGUUCACUCGUACCAUUAAAAGUCUAAGAUAACUACUAUAAAUAAGAGAACACCCCAAGUCGCAACACCCCAAGUCGCCAGGUACAAAAAUCUAAUCCAAAACUUGUGAACUAAUCUCAAACCUAAAUUAACUUGAACAUCAAAGUGAAUUUAUAAGUUCCAACCCGCGUACACUAUAACCUGAAGAGCCUUCACCAUCAAGCCAAGAGCCUGGCUCAGAGACCGAAGACAACGAAAAGUAAGUGUAAAGAUUAUAAUCCUUGUAAGAACACCUUCUGGAACAAACCUUCUAAACACAAGCUUUCUGAAAUACAAAUACAUGAAUUUCAGAAUGAGAUUUUCACAACAGAAUAUGUAGAACAAGUUUUUCAAAAUAUGGAACAAACUUUUAGAACAAGCUCUCUCUCUUCCUUUCAAAAAGUGUAGUGAAAAACGAAACUACAGCAGUAACAAUAAUUGAUGCAGAAAAAGGGUAUUUUUAUGUUUUUUUCUAUUGAUUUAAUAUCACUUUUUAUCGCCAAUAUAAGUAAUCAAAGAUUGACGUUGACGUUAAGAAAGUCUUGAUAGAUGAAAAUUGACCUAUAUAACGGAUACUUGCACACGACAAAACUAUAUCAUCUAAAUCAAAUUCUUAAACAUUUUCUAUUAGUAAAAGGAUACCUUUAAUAAUAAAGAGAUGCAUAAAGAAAAUAGACUUGUAUAUUCUACUUUACCUAAUAUGCUAGUUGAUAUUUUUUUACAAGAGGUGUGCAUAUUAGAAAACCAAAUUUUGGUUUUUUUAAUAAACAUAAUUGCUAUACAUGUGUUAUUGUACAAAUCCAAACCCAUUGAAUAUUCUUCCAAUCUUUCCUAUUUUCUAUUUUGAAAAAAAAAAUAUUGAUAAAUAUAGAUAUAAAUAUUAACAAUUUUUUAUUUUUACUUUUCAUUAUAAAUUUUUACAUUAAUUAAACACAAGUGUAAAUAUUAAAAAUAUCUAGUUUUUAAAAUUGAAUAUAAAGAUAAUAUUGAGCUAAAAUGCAUGCUUUGUAGUUUUGUGGUACAAUUUUUUUUGAAACUUUUAAAAUAAAGUAUUUUAAUUCUAAAAUUUUAAAAUAAAUUAUUUUAAUUAUUGUCAAAUGUACAAAGACUAUUUAAAAAAUAAAUACUUAUUAAUUUAAAAAAUAUUAAUAUAAAUAAUAUUUUUAAUUAAUUAUGAUUGAUAUUAUUUUUUUAUCUUAUCAAUUUUUUCAAUUUUCGAUUGACACUAAUACAAAAUAAUUCAUAAUUAAUGUUAAUUAAAAAUAAAAAGAUAAGUAUUACAAGUAUGGAAAGAAAUGGUCAUAUCAAAUAUCAAUUAAAAACAUAAUUAAUAUAAAUUUUUAUUAAAGACACUGAUAAAAAAUAAUUCAUAAUUAAUUAUCUUUUUACAAAUAUAGACAAAAAAGUUAUAUCAAAUGUCAAUUAAAAAUAUAAUUCAUAUAAAGAAAUAGUAUCUUUUAACAUUACUAAAAAAAAUAUUAUUUAAUAUAUAGUAAAAUGAUCUAAAAAGAUAUUAUAACAACUUCAAUCACAAAAACAACUUUUAUCAACAUUAAUAAAUAAUUUUUAAUCAUCAUAAUAAUUAUCUUAAAUCAUAAAAUAACGUUUAUCAAUAGUAAUAAAUAAAUUUCAAAUCAUAAUAAUUAUUUCAAAAAUUCUUAACAUUGAAAAAUUUUAGACACUUACCUUUUUGGUAGAAGUUAAAAAACAUUUCCAUAAACAUAAAAUACCUUCAUAAGACUUUCUAUCCAAACACUACAAAGUUUGAUAAUUAAUUAGGAUCCUUAUUAAAAUAUUAAAAAGUAAGAAUUUUUUUCAACCAGUAAAAUAAGGUCAAAACAGUGGAUAAAACAUAACAUUAACCUCUCUAAAAUAAUAAUUAUAGAAAACAUGGUUGGCUUCCAUUCAUCACCUAAUUUAAGGUUUCACAUCUCCAUCUUACAAUGGUUAAUCAAGUACACCAUACAAUUAUAAACACAACGCUUUAACAUUGUGGAUGUAAAUUCACAGCACCCAAUUUUCUUACAUCGAAUAGAAGAUGCAAUAAUCAUAAAUGAAAAAUAAGACUUGGUUCCUUAUUCUGUGUUCUUAAACAGUAACAUUUCUAAAAGGCUCAACACACUUGAAUCACUACAACUGGUGGCUUUAAGAUGUUAACAGGUAAAAAGGAAGAACCAAUCUGCUUGAAGAACAGUGAAACUGUUAACAUCUCAAUGAUGGACACUUCUCAGAGUUCACCAUCCCAGAGCUCUUCGACGGUCUUAUAGGCACCAUAGGUCUCGUCAGUACAAAAUGUGCCCUUAAUUAGCCUAUCCUGCAUGACCAAAUUCCUUUUGUUAAUUCAAAAAAUCAAGCUUUAAGGCCACUUCUGGGAUUAUAAUGCUAUGGCACACAAGCAUCAUACAAGGUAGUUAAAGAUGGUAAGGAACUACAUACCAGAAACACCUUAGGAGGUAGGGUUUAAUUGAAUCUUUUAAACUAGAAAAAAACUUUUGAAAAAGAAAUCAAACACACCCUAACUAAGUAACUACUUGCCUGGUUAAUUUCAGAGAAUUUGGCCAUUAGUUCUUCUGGAAUAGACCAGUCAAAAACAUCAAAGUUUCCCUUGAUCCUGGACUCAUUAGUACUCUUUGGCAGCACACUAUGACCUGAUUGCAAUCCCCACCUAAGGGCCACUUGAGCUGGUGUCUUCCCCAAUUUCUCUGCAAUCUCUACUACAACAGGAUUCUUAAGAAUGUCACUUUUCAGAUUCCCUGGUGAGCCUAGUGGAGAGUAGCC
rnacentral:lncRNA from 1 species